rnacentral:lncRNA from 1 species
AAAGAAGAACUCCAUUUCUUAAAAACUAUGUAAAUAAUUGUUAUCGCGCGCGCAAGCCGAUCGAUGGAUCUCACAUGACGUUAAAGUGAUUAUAUGUUUCGUCAUGAGAAUAAAAUAUUUAUCCGGUUCACACGAUGACCAGACGCCUAGUAUUAACGAACAGCCAAAUAUUAGUCAUAACAUUACAAAAAAAAAAAAAAAAACUUGGAGAAUUAUAUGGAAGGUUCUUUCUAGGUAUCAGAACACUAGUGGUUGAAUAUAUAUGAAGAUUCUUCACCUCUUACUUCCAAUGGGCAACGAGCCAAAGGCUAAAUCAUUGAAAUGAAAUUAACGAGACAAAGAACAAAUACAGAAAAUGACAGGUUACCAAACACCUUUAUAAAAAAGGGCAGAAAUUGGAAUGGUUUCACGUAGUGGGAACGCUGAUUUUUAUCAUCAAAUAGGAAAAAAAAUUACUUUUCAAAAAAAAUAAUUUUUUUUUAUGUUUUUAAAUUUUUUUGAUAUGAUAUUAUUAAAAAUAAAUUUUAAAAAAUAAAAAAAUAUAUUAAAAAAUAACCGCUGAUACAAUACCAAAUUAGCUGGAAGUUAAAAUAAGCAUGAGGUUCUUGGAAGUUGGAAGCAUAGUUUUAAAACCCGGACCGGCCCGGCAGGUCGACCCGGGCAUGGGACCGGUCCGGGUGAAGGCCAAAACCCGCUUGGGAAUUGGCCCGGCCAGACCCGGUCAACACCCGGUCCCAAACUCGUUGAUUUUUAUUUUUUUUUGUUUUUUUUUUUGCUAAAACGAUGUCGUUUUGAUUUUUUAAAAAAAUUAAAAAAUAAAUUUUGACCCGGCGACCCGGUCGAGACCCGGAACCCGGGUCUUGGACCGGGCCGACCACGCCGGGUCUUAAAACUAUGCUUGGAAGAGCAAUGAGAACUCCAUUGCAGGCAAGAAGCAUGUAAAAGAAAUUUCCAACUUUGACUGCUUCAAAUUUGUAUGCUGGGGCAGCCAUGUGAUCUCGAAGGAAUGGAGCACCAAUUUGCGAUAUCUUUGUAAUCCCAAUCCUAAUUGUGUUAUUGAUUAAUUAGCAAUUUGUGUUAUUUUUAUUAUAUAUGGGAAAUGUGUGUGACAAGCAAUAAAGUGAGACUAUCAUGGGUUCGAAAGGUUUAAUUAUUGGUAUUUUUUGUUUAAUUUAAUUUAAUAAUUUAUUUUUAUGCACUGUUUACAAAUUAACAAAACCUAACUUGUUCAAAAAAAAAAACGAAUGUAAAUUGUACCAUUUAUAAGUUCUUGGGAGUGACGAACGAGACAUUGCUCAACUUAAAUUUUGUGAGUGAGAGCAUCCCAUAUUCUAAUCCAAUUGCCUCUGAGAUUCAAAAAGCUAGUGAUAUGCUGAUAUAUUGUAUAUCAGCCUGAUAUCUUAUAUUUUAAUUAAUUAAUUUUUUUAUUUUAGAUUAAUAUUUGUUUGGUGUUUUCAGAUCAUUUUGAUAUAUUUUUAUCAAAAAUAAUUUUUUAAAAAUAAAAAAAUAUUAUUUUGAUGUAAAUUAUUUUUAAAAAAAAAACUCAAUUACAUUUUGAAACACGCUUUUAGUUUAGGAAUCUUAAUAAGCAUAGGCAUAUUAUUAUAGGCUUUCAAAAAAAAAAUUGUUAAAUUUAAGUUUAUUAGCAAUAAUUAUUAAAAAAAAUCCGGAUUAUAUAUGAGGAAAUAAUUUAAUGGAGGCGGCAGAGACGAAAUAGUCGUCCACUACCAUGAUGUCUACAUACAAUAAACUUGCACAGCCAUUCACAUUGUAGUGCACUCCACUAGUACCCACAGCCGUUUUCUCCUUAUAUGAGAACCUAGAGACGAGACAGCUAUGAGUAAGUUGCGACACAGGAAAGUUAGAUUGUUCGUCUUUCCUGUAAAGUUAAUGAACCCCUUUGUAACAGGUUAAAAAGGUUUUAUGUAGCUGUUCGAACAUUUUGAUCCCCUCAGCCAUGGGUUUUACUUUACUCCUUUAUAGGUUUGCUUACAUGGACAUGCACAUCCCACGUCACUGAGGCUUGGUCUCACUUGUCAAAUGACUCCUUCCACGUCUGACAUCAUCCCUCUCAGUAAAAAACUUGGACACGUUCAAACAUUAAUAACACCACGAAACCGGCCACUUCUUAGUUGAAAAUCACUACGGAAGUAGCCAAUCUUUACUUUUGUCAUCUUCCAAUGGUAUUUAAUUAUUCCCAUUAUUAAUUUCCAUUGACUUGCUCUCCUUCAAGUAUUUCAAUGUCCUCCCCCCUAUGUUCCCCUUAUAAUUUACAGCACAACAAUAAUGUUUUUGUCCUCCUCCUCCUUCCUCGUACCAUCAAUAUCCCAAUCUCCUUUUGUUCUUCUUGUUCACCAUUCAGGAUUGAGCAUGGAUUCAUCAGACUUCCCUAUCAGUAGAUCACCAAGAAAAGAAUUGCAAGGUCCUAGACCACCAGCUUUGAAAGUCCGCAAAGAUUCACACAAGAUCAGAAAACCACCAGUAGCACCGCAACCAUUCCAACGGCAACCACAGAAUCAACCACCGACACAGCCACGCCCUCCCGUGAUAAUCUAUACAGUGUCACCUAAGGUGAUUCAUACAAACCCUAAUGACUUCAUGACCCUAGUUCAACGCCUCACAGGCUCCUCAUCAACAUCAACCUCCUCCAAUCCCUUUAAUGAUGAUUGUGGUGCAAUAUCGCCUGCAGCAAGGUAUGCUACAAUUGAGAAGGCCAAUUCACCCAAAGAUCAGCAAAAGCAGCAGCAGCUAGGCGGAGAUUUGGGUUAUGUUGAAGGGAUCAUGGAGAUUGAUCGAGUAAUGGAGAGACCAAGUUUGGGUCCUGGAAUUCUGUCUCCUGGGCCAGCUUCACUUCCUCCAAUACCACCAAACUUCUUCUCUCCCGAUCAAAACUCGGUUAGCUUCUUCCAUGAUUUGAGUCCUAUUCUUUAUGGUAACAGGAAUUUUAUUGAGGGUAGUUUCAUGCCUAGUCCUUCAACCUUCGUUUCGCCACGCAUAAAUUCUCCAAGCACUCCAUCUAUAGACCUUUUCAAUAAUUUCAAUGCUUACAAUAAUUUCUUUGACUUUUGAUAGUUUCAAGGUAGGGAGAGAUACAAACAAAGGGAAAGGUUUUGCUCUUUUUUCUUUUUUCUUUUUCUAAAGCUUAUUUUGCUUUGAUGAUAGAAACGUGGGGCAAUAGUAGAAAUCUGAUCUUUCUUUUGGUGGGUUAGCAAGUUGGAGACUUCUUGAUGGCUUUAUCUAUUCACAUUUUUAAUCUAUUCGAUGCUGAGCUAGAUGGUUAUUUUUUCUUGGUCGACAGCUAAAUCAAUACAGUAGUUGAAUCAGAUUAUAAAACCAUAAAAAUGCAUCAUGCAAUGCAGCACCGGUACCCUUGAAAUAGGUGUAAAUUAACAUCAGAUCCAGACACUGAUUAUAGAGCAAGAGAGUAUGUAUGAUUUUCAUUGAUUACCAUCAAAUUACUCUAUGUAUGAUGUUCAAGGGGAAAAUAAGAGAGGAAGAAAAGAUAAAUAAUAUUCUUCUUUUUCUCUUUUUUCCCCAAAUAUUUCAGAUAUGAACGAUCACCUUUCUUCUUCUCCAUCCCUUUUCUUGUUUUCAAAUUUUCAUGACAAAAACUUGUGGCUGAUAAAUAGAUGAUAACAAGAACACCAACAUUUUGUUUUAAAUGAUGAGGAAAAUAUACGGUCCCUUUAGAUAUUUCACUCAAGCGCAGCUUGAAAAAGGGUUGAUUUUUAGUCUUUCAUUACAUCAAUCAAAGUCAGGUCAAGCUCCUCUACAAAACCCAACUUCAUCCUUUGUGACAAUGUCAUUCUGAACCUUAAUUACAUGAAUCGAAGUCAAGUCAAGCUCCUUUACUGAAUCCAAUAAUACCAUCCUUUUUUACUAAGUCAUUUGGAACCUUACUCUCCUCGUCAUGGAAACCCUCAUAAAUUUUUAUCUCCUUGACUAUCUUAAAGUUUGAAGGCGAGCCUCAAGUGAGUUUCAAAUUUAAACUCUUUCGGUCUUUACCUGUUGCUUUUCUCUUUAGUAUAUGAUCUACCCUUCCAGUAAUCAGCUCAAGGAGUGGUUAUCUUGGAGCUCAAAAAUCCCACAGCAAUGCAACCACCUUAAGGAAGUCGCCUGUUUUUCUUCGUGGCGAGGGCAUUAUUAUAAAGAGCAAAAAAAAACCUUCUUUUGUUAUUCAACAGACGUCAAAGGUUAGAGCUGGAUACCCACAGAUCAGUUUACUUGACCCGUGCGAACAAGUUCUAAACCUACCAAAGUAGAUAAAUUGAGAAUAAUUUCCAAGUUGAGCUAGCCUGGCUAAGAUAUUGACUCGACCAAACCCAACUUGGACAGCGGCUUGGCAACCUUCUUACCGUUGACCUUGACUUUCAUAUGUGACCUUAAGGUUGAGGCUGGAAUGCAUUGGAAAUAAAUUGCUAGUAUCGCUGAAGUCGUUUGGAAAUAAAUUUUUGAAUAUUAAGUGAUGUGCUAUUGUUAAAGCACCUGGAUUCAAGCGCUUCAUCGUGUGGCCUGUAUGACACCAACACCGUAUCAAAAUAUUAAUAGAAACAUGAUGUCCUACCCUCUCCCCUACUUGCCUUUUUAAUAUUGCCAAACCAAGUAAAUGUGAAGGCACUUGACAUCCAUCAAGUAUUUUCUGAUGCAUCCAUUCACUGUCUAUCAAUGUGAAACAAACACUUCCGAAUUGACUAUGAGCUAAAGUUUGAAUGCUGCCCUGUUUUUUUUUAAAUACAAGGAUUAGUGCUCUACACCUGGAGUUUUUAUCUCAUACACUAUUAGAAAAUUAAAAAAAUAUCAACAGAAAAUUCAAUUGAUGUUUAGAUAAAAUUACACCAGUAAUAGCAUUGCUGAUAGAAUUAUCAAUGAAAAACUAUCAUAAAAAAAUAUAUCGUCAAAGCUUUUUAUUUUAUUAGCAUUAAAAAAUAUCAAUGAAAUUUUUCAUUAGUAAUUUGAUCAGAAAUUAUAUUUUCUUUCUUAUUAAUGUAUCUUAUGAUCUCCAACCAUAACAAUUAUACUAUCUUAAAUUCUAAACAACAACAUGGAACCAAUUAUAUUCAUGCCCAUAAACUGAACUAGAAUAUAAAACCUUAACAAUUGCAUGCUAAUAAUAAGGUUAAAUGUUAAUUUCAUUCUUCUCAACUAAAAUUCAAAUGGCAUAUCUUAGUAAAAUUUGUUCACAAAGUUAAUAUUGUUCAUUAAAUAGACCUAUUUAAUAUUUCAAGUACAAAUACAUGCAUGAACAAUGAUAUUGACACAGAGAGAGACACAAGAAAACGAGAAAAAGUUUUGACAAAAAUAAAAGCAUUCCCACAUGGCAAGCUCAGUUUUAGCAUCAAUUGGGUCCUCUUCAUGCUUUAAAUAUUAUGAAACUUAUUAAACCUAAAAAAAAAAUUCAUAACAGGAAUAUAUCAAAUAGUUUGUUAAAAAAAUAAUAAAAAAGAAAGCAUAAAGUUAUUGAUAUAUCAAACAGUUGAUUGGCCCUGUUUAAUUAGUCACAAUGAAAAUGAUGAGUUUUGAAUUACCUACAAUUUUUUUCUUGAGAGGCAUGAUAUUUUUACAAGAAGUGAAUUACCUAUUAUGUUUGCCAAACAUAAAAUUCAUUAGAAAAAUAAUAUAAAACUAGCUUCACACUAAUUUGUCUAGCAAUCAAAUAAAAAAAUAACAUUUAUUUUCCAGGUUAUUUUAAACUACUAUAAACAAAAUCUUCACAUGGCCGAGAAAUUCAAAGAACCCAAAUUUCCAACUUAACUAUAAAAUUAAUAAGAAAAUAAUUGGUAACCAUUAAAUUACCCAUCACUUCUUUAAUUUCAAUGUAUCUAAGUUAAAAAGAAAAAUCAAACUCAAUUUCAUCAAGUCACAAAUUAAAUCUAUUUCUCUUAAAUCUCAAACAAACCUCAAAAUAUAAAUCAUAUAUUACUACAACAAAUUAAUUAUCAUUAUCAUUAUAUAAAAAGUAAAACACUUAAAUAUGAUUGCAAAUUAUAAAUUCAACAAACAGAUUUUGAAUAGAUUAACUUCAAACAUAAAUAGGUGUUACAACAAAAAUAAAUGAGUUUUCUUAUUUGAUAAAUUAAAGCUUGACAAGAAAUAGAACUAAGAAAAGGAGAUUGUGUCGGGACCGGUAGGUGUGGUGGUUGAAUUUUAAAGGGGGUGUCUGAAAUUUAAAGAAAUUAGGAUUAGGGUUUGAAUUAAAAAAGAAGAAAAGAAAGGGAGAUAGAGAACUGUUGAGUUUAAUUCCUUUGAUGAUAAUUAUGUCGAUAAUUUGACACUUUAAAAAUGCUAAUGAAAUUGUUAAUGGAAAACUUUUUUAUUCCAUUAUCAUUUUCGUUGAAAAUUACUAACAUAAAUUUUUCAUUACAGUUUUCGUUGGUAAGCAGCAAUGGGAUAUUUUCCAUUGGCAAUCCUAAUGUUUUUUUUUUUUUUCAAUUUUUCGGUGGUGAUAUCUUUUGGUGCCACGAAGUCAAAAAAAUCAAUAUUAUACUCUACCACGUGGUUAAAGUUCAAAACUUUAAGGUAUUUAUUUUAUCAAAUUCGCCAAGUUAUGUGGGAGUGGUUAAACAAGAACAGUAAUUAAGGAAGAAAAACCAGUCAAUAAAGGUUCAGAUUAGCAUUAUUAUUAAUAUUAUACUAAUCAAUAUGGGAAAUUUGUAAUCAGUGAAAACAGAAGCUGGCUGGCAUGACCUUAACAGGCUGCACUAAUUUUAAAUUCAUAAUUGUACAGACGUUUUGUCAGCCCGACAAAAAUGGAAACAUUCAGGUAAAAUCAAACAUUUGGAGAUUAAAUUCCAAGUUAUGCAGUACUGUUACAAUGGAGAAUCUGUCAAUUGGACUUGGUGAAAACUGUAUGAUAUGCGUUUUUCACUUGUUUAUACCAUCAUUUAUACGGCUUGUAGACAUAAUCAAUACGAUUAAUGGAAUCGUCUAGUAGAUCAGUCGUCACCAACAUCCCUGGCGUCCCGAUUGAAUCCUCUGACUCUUCUUUUAGGCAUGUGCCUCGACUAUUUCCAGGUCUAAGAGGAAAAUCACUUGACGUCUCAAUUUAUGAUAAUUAGCAGGAGCUCGUUUUAAUAAUGACUCAAGAGGAAAAGGUUUUCUUUGAUUUUUCCUUUCGUAUAAGAGAAGGAGCAUACGAAAAGUAACCAAGUUGGAUGCCUAGUUUAUUUAUAAAUAUUGUUAUGGUUAUUUUUUAAAAUAUUUUUCAUUUAAAAAUAUAUUAAAAUAAUAUUUUUUUAAUUUUAUAAAAAUUAUUUUUAAUAUCAGCUUAUAAAAAUACCAAAAAAAUAUUAAUUUGAAGUAAAUAAAAAAAUAAAAUAAAAUUCAAAUUUUUUAAAAAUUAAUUUUAAAAUACAAAAACAAACAGACUUACAUAAUACACGUUUUCUAUUUUAUAAGUAAAAGCCUCGUUAGAUUAGAUGAUUCGUGUAGAUGUUUUUAUUAAUUGAAAGCAAUUUCAUAUUUGAAAAGAGAAAAGACAAUGUGAGUAAAAUGAUAGAAGAGACUGCAAAAAGAAUUAUGUUCAAUUUAGAUGUGGAUAUAUCAACUACGUACUUAAGAUUUAAUUAAAUGAUUAAAGCUCCAUCUUAUCUAGAAACACCCCUUCCAAUUAAUAUCCAAAAAAUUAACAUUAUAAGAAUGGGUGUCAAUGCCAUAAACUUUUGAAGUAUGAUCAAAUAGAACCUUUUUAAAGUAAUUCGAUGAGAUCAAAUCUUUUAUUUCAAUUAAAAGCUCCAAAUAAUACCGUAUAUAUAUACAUAUUUAAAAAUAAUAUACAAAAUCAAAAUCUAUCUUUUUUCAAUACGAUUUACAUUAAAAAUAAAGAAAAGCAUAAUGUAACUUAAAAAUUAACUAAAAAGUUGAAUAAGAAACAAAGCAACAAUAUAUUUAAUAAAAUCAAUUAAUGUUGACACUCAAAUACGAUGUAAUGCUUAACUCAUAAGAAAACAUAAAGUAAUUUUUUUUUAUUUUUUUUUUAAUGAGCUCUAUAAUUUAAGAAUUUACAUAUAGUUUUUAGUUUGAUAUAUAUUUUACUAUUUUUUAAAAUAUAAACGAUGCAUAUGAUGUCAUUUAGAUCUUUAAUUGAAAGUAGAAAGCUUUAUCUCAAGAUUUUAUAUAUUCAGAUUUCAAAGGUCUCGGAACUAAAAAAGAAAGUUUCUUUUUUUUAAUUAGUUGAUUCAAUAUAAAACUUUCGAGGGAACAUUGGAAUUAUUCUUCGUAAAAAUCAUGAGCAGUUCACGGUGUGGCGUAUGAAAAUUGAUAGCCUAGCUACCAUGAGAACUCAAUUCUUAAAUACCAUCAUUAUAAGCAGCUCAGGAGCACAUGUAAAAGGAUAAUCCUUGAAAACUCGGAAAUGAUGUAAAAAUACCAUAGUUUUAAAACCCGGUCCGGCCCGGUGGCCAACCCGGGCAUGGGACCGGUCCGGGUGGAGGCUAAAACCCGCUUGGGAAUUGGUCCGGCCAAACCCGGCCGACCCGGUUGACCCAGUCAUGAUCCGGCCGCAAACCCAUUGAUUUUUGUUUUUUUUUUUUACUAAAACGACAUCGUUUUGAUUUUUUUAAAAAAAUUAAAAAAUAAAAUUUGACCCGGUCGAAACCCGGUGACCCAGUCAAAACCCGGAACCCGAGCCUUGGACCGGACUGACCAUGGGGCCGGGUCUUAAAACUAUGAAAAAUACCAUCUUCAUAUUUCCAUCCUCCUUUUCAUCAACAAAAACCUGGCACGGUUCUAUUAUUACAGUUCUAAUUUCUAAAGCAAAAGGAGCGGAGCUGGUGGUGCUCUGUAUUUUCUUGAUCGAGGGUCAAAUACAUGUUCCGUGUGUCAAUACAUGUUUUCCUACCACUUUCUGUAGUCAAGCUAAACGUCUGCUUUCUUUCAGACGUUAAGAAAGAAACCAAAAGGAAAUCAACGUACAAAUUCUGAUUAAGAUUCAAUUAUGCGGACCAAUAAAUCAAGCGAGAACCGUCACUACCAUUGCUUUGACGGACUAGCAGGACUCCGCCUUUCCCAGGUUAUGGCCUUCGGGAUGCCUUGUUCUUCUCCAGGAACAACAUCAAUUGCCAAAGCGAAGGUUUCUUUGGCCUGGACACUCCCCACAGAAAGAAUUUUUGACUGGAAUCCUCAUGCAAAUCAAUAUAGACAAGAAAGAUUUAAAAACUGUGAGUUGCAAAUGUGAUGAAUAAUGUUCAUGUUGCAAUCAUAAUUAAAUAAAAAGAAAAUGAGAAACAGGUUAUUCGGAAGCAAAUAUUACUGCAGCAAACCUUUUCUUCAAUAAGGAAUGCUUGAUGGGGAAAGAAAAAAAAAGGUGAAAAUGCAGAAAACAAACACCAAUAAUACAUCAACAAAUUUCGGAAGACGAGCAACCAAAUAUAUAUAUAUAUAUACGGCUUGCUGGCUGCUUGUAAUUUUGGUAUUCAGGAUUGCAUAUUUUAGGAAUUCAGGAUCAUCUCCAAUACUUCCAUUCUUUUUCCAUCUAAAUUAAGUGAUCCAUGCCCCAAUUCCCUUACUCCCCUUUGAUUCACUCAAAAUAGUGAAAUUCAUAAACGCAGCUCCAACUUUCCCAAAAGCCCCAAUCCUCCCAGGCUCCAAGACUAACAUCAUCAACACCGAUAAUAAUUAGUCCAACUUGUGAGGGAGAGAGCCUAUCUAAUUUUUCCGCACUAAGCAUGCCUUCUAGGAUGUCUAUGCUUUUCAAAACACCUUAAAUUCCUUCCUCUCCUUGGUAGACUUUUCACAAUCAUCGUCAAGUUUUGCAAUAGCUUCAGUUAAUAUGUUGGUCAAUUUAUGCAACCCUAUGAACAUCUCUGCAGUAGCAAAUGCAGUUGCGCAGCAAACUAUGUUGCCGAUAGCACCAUCCAACAAGGUUGACUGUGUCCUCUGCUGCAUGUUCAUUGCUUGCCGUGAAUGGAUGGCCUUGAGGAGCCUGCUGCAGCUCUAGAAGCAGCCAUGAAAUAUUUUCAGAUGAAACAAGACAAUACUGCUGCAACACGGCUUGGUGCAGCCUUCACGGUUUCAUUUCGCCAUGUGCUUCGGUGUGGCAAGUGAUUUGUGAUCGAACAAAGAUCUUCUUGUUACGUGCUUGCCUUCCUGGAGCCACCAUCUUUCAACUGUAGAAUAACAUGUUUUUAGGAAAGGAUCUAUUUGUGGAAAGAUGGAUGAUGCCCUAGCAAAAUCAGGGUGGGCUAUUCUAUGAUGUGCCCCACGAGUAAUGGCAGCCCGCGUUCCACAUAAAAUGAACAGUGGCGAAGGCACAUAGGAGAUUAAGAGGGCAAUUGCCCCUUAAUGUUUUUUUAUUGUUUUAAAUUUUUUUUAAUAAUGAAUAUUAAUUUGAUUAUUUUGAAUUAAUUAAAAGUUAUAUUAUUUUUAAUUGAAUUAGUUACAGUAUAAAUUAAAUUUUUUCACGAGAUGAACAAACAAACAUUUCAAUUGUUGUUGGUGAGUAAAGAUUAAUAUUUACAAAAUUAAAAGUAGAUUUUAAAAAAAAAAUGAUUAAUCAUAAUAAAUUGAAACUAUCAAUCAUGAUCCAUAUCCAUGUAUUUAUAUAGCAUGUCACAUGGUAAUGGGGGUGUGAAAUGGGUUUUGAUGAAUUAAUGUUUAUUUUAUUAUGAAUUUUAUAUGAAAAAUUUAUAAUUAUUAUGUAACUGAACUCAAUUUUGUUAUUAUAAAAAUUUAAAGAGAAUAAUUAUAAUGUAAGUUUUUUCAUUUUAAAAAUAUUUUAAAAUUAAUUUUUCUUAUAUGAGUUAGUAUAUUUGUUUCGAAUUAAUUAUUAAUAUAUAUUUACAUAAUAUAAUAUUUAUUAAUUAAUUUGCCUCCUCAUUUCAAAUACUCUCACUCCACCACAGAAAACGAAUGCUGUUACUCCAUCCCCAAUCUUGCGAGACAUACAUCCACCGACUACCAUUAUUCCACAUGUAAAUAUGUUCACUUGAAAAGCUGAAAGGGGUGCUUCGUCGUCUGAUUCCUUAUAGAAGGGACAGCAUGUAAGGAAUUUGUCCAACCACUCAAUUUCUGGAUGUUCAAAAAAUUCCGACAUGGCACAAUUGAUUCGGGCUUCCACAAAGGGCACACUUCAUAAAAAGCGAUCGACGUGGAUGUGAUCUGUCACCAUAACAGAAAAUGGAUAGGAGAUUAAGCGUUUCUGGAUAUUUUUGUUUUCGCUACUUCAUAUGUAGAGUUAAUUUUUUUCAAAUGUAAAAGAUACGCCAAUUUGAUGAUAACAUAAGUCAAUUCACGUUCACAGUUAUUAGAACUAAUCUAACAAGUUAACUCGGAAUCCUAGCUAAAUCUGAAAUUGCCAAAAACAGGACUUACAAUUGGCUUGGCAUAGCUGCCUGAUCUGCUAGGUUAAUCCAUAACCUGAGUGAUUUAGAAAAACAUUAUAGUGAUUUUUUUUCAGACAUUAUUUUUUUAAGAAAUCCAAAAACUAAAUCAAUUAAAAGGCAAACUGAAACAUUAAAUUAAUGAACCCAUGAAUAUCUUGGUGACCCGGGGCUUUGGUAAAGUCUGAAUUUACCAAAAAUCGAACCUCCUAUUAGCUCGGCGUGGCCUGCCUGAUCUGCUAGAUCAACUUAUGAGAAACCCCAUAAUAAACCUUUUUUCUAAGCAAUAGUUUUUCAAGAAACCCAAAAACUAAAUUAGGCAAGCUGAAAUAUUAAAGUAAUGAACCCAUGAACACCUAGCACAUGAGCCCUGAAUCCAUAUUAGAGAACAGCCAGGUUUACACAAGUCCAUGGACACGAAAAAUCCAAAUCUUGUAUCAACGUCCAAAAUGCCUAUGGUCCAAAUAUUCCAUAGAAGCAUAUCUUAAUAUUUUGUUCAAAAGUCUUGCAAAUAAAUUGAUCUUUUCGUGUUUUAAUUUGAUCAUAUCACACUCUUAUUGUGUUUUGUUAAAAUAUCAGUCCAAUAAAAUGCCUAUGGUCCAGUCAAAUCAUAUCGACAACGGAAUUACAUCGAAACGCUCAAUAAUAUUUUGGAAAGAGUAAAACAAGAGGGGCAGGGAAUGGCACUGAAAGCUCUUUUCUGUUAAUUGAUUCCGAUCUCAAAAAGAUAUAUUUGGAUGAACUAUGUGGAGGAAACAAACAAAAGGCACAUAAAUUGAGAUAAUUCUACAAUAAUUUUAUGUAAAUCGGUAAUUUUAUAGUAAUAACCAGUAAUAUCUUAUUAGUUAUUUUCUAGAUUUUAUUUUAAAAAAAUAAAUAUAAAAAAAUUAAAGAUAUUCUUUUAUUUAAUGAUUCAUGAAUUUUAUGUUCUUUCUUUCUUUGUGUUUAUCAUUUUUAAAAGUAAAUUUUAAAAUAUAAUUAAUAAAAUAUCCCUAAUUACUCUCAACAUUUUCCAUUCAUUAAAUCUACCAGCGCAGAUCAGGUAAUUACUUCACAAGUCUUCUAAAAAACCGGAGUCAGUUUUGUGUUCUCAACUUCUUUUCACGAGUCUUGUAGGCAAACGGGUCUCGAAAACAUCGUGGUCUCAUUUUCGUCAAGAGAAACUUUACAGGACGUCCAAAUGCCCGCGUUUGCACAGGAAGAAAAUGGUUCUGUUAAAAUAAAAUGGGAAACCACAGCCCAAUAAGCAUCAAGCCCAUGGGCUUUACAGGAUUCUAGCCUAUCCGCGCAGCCUACAAGGCCCAAUGGUGCACCUACAAAAAUUAAUAAAACUAGCGACACAAAUUUGCAGACUUGUUUUUUUCUGCCAUGGGCCGAAACUGUAAUGGCAUGUAGCAACAACACCAAUGUGAUUUUUCCGGCUGUGGCAAAGCUAGCUAUUCCCAUAGAACAAGCAGAGUGAGUGGAUUCAGAAAAUCGGUCCAGUUGAAUUAUCCCAGGAACACACAACGAGCCAUGCCAAUUAUAUACAAUCGAGAUGGAGUUCGGCGAGGAAAUUAUGAUAGCACCUAAUUUCAAUCAAUAAAUACUUUAUUCUUAAUCCUAAUAAGCUAUUAUUUUUCUGUGCUAUGUGGAAAAGCAUAAAUAUUCAAAAAAAAAAUGUUAAAAAAACCCGAUAUAAUCUCAUUCAAGUUAGCAUGUCGAAUAGGCAAUAUGAUUGUGAUACCGGCAUAACUUUUCAAAAAUAUAUAAAUAAAAUUAUGAAGGUUAAUUACUAAAUAAUUUAUUGUUGAGAGAUAAAACAACAAAAAUUAACAAAAAAAAAAUAAAGCAACAAAUUGUUUUUGAAAAAACUGCGUGAAACAAUUUUGGGUUCAAUAAAAACAAUAUUAAUUUGUCAAAAUAUUUAUUCGUCAAUAAAAAAAAUAUCGAUUCUAUAAUAUUGGACACGACUCUCGUGUCCACAUUUAGAUAUAGAGGUUUGAUCAUGUCAACUUUUAUUAUUCAUUGUAAUGUCAUUCCAAAAUUGACAGCAAUGGUGUCAGGGAUCACAAACAAGCAAAGAACGCCGUGAUUAGUGUACAGGCUGGGGAAUAAAGAAUAUGGUAUAUAAGAAAGUCCUAACAAAAAUUGGCCCGAAGAACAUUCUGUGCAAAGGAAAGGAAAAAAAAAAACAUCGUUGAUCUACUUUGAGUAAAAAAUUCACAGCUAGGGUAAAAUAUUUUUAAAAUGCAUAUAUUAUCAUGGCGAGGAUAUAUAAUUGUGUUUUGCUCAUGCAUCGUGUGUUUGUUGAUCUACUUUGCUAGUGAUAUAUAUAUAUAUAUAUAUAGACUAAGUUUAUCCAAUGAUUUUUCAUCUUUAACACAUAAAGAAUAUGAUAUAAUAUUAACUGAUGUAUAAACUUUGUUCAAAGAUAUCUCCAACGGUAUAAAAAAGUUCAUCAUUUCAGGAAGAUGUUAUAUUAUGCUUAAAAGAAGCUAGUAUACUGCAAGGUGAGGAAAAAAAAAACAUAGCAUAAAAUGAUAUAAUUGUAUAAAUUUUCAUUAGACUGGAAGCUGAGCUACAAAUUAAAAAUCCAUUCAAGAUCAAGAGUAAAACAGUUGAGUAUUUUCUUCUUUUCAUGUGUGUACGUUAAUGUUUUUAUGUUAAAAAGAAAAUAAUUUCACAUCAUCCACAAAAGCAUCAUCAGAUUCAGCGUCUCCAAGAAUUUAACAAGGCAUGAUAUGAGUAGUUUUGGUCUCGUAACUCACCGCACCACCAAGGCCGCCGCCAUUUUUACAGCCAAGUCUUAAAACCUUGAUCAAGUCACCACAUCCUCCUUACAUUCCCUUCCCCUACUUCACUUUGCAUAAUCAACAAGACUUUUGUCACUCCAUUGCUCCUCACCACUCUCUCCACCACCCUCUCAUCCCUAAACAGACAACACAUGCUCCACAGCACCACCACGGCAUCCUCCGUUGCCGUUUUUGAGACCUUCAUUAAUCUCUCCACUAUCGCCCCUGCGCAUGUCGGGUCAACGCUUAUCGCUGACCGUCCAUCCGCACACGUACAAAUCAUUGACAAUACCUUCAGUGACUUUUCCACGACAGAAACGGCAGCGUUUUGGCUCAACAGCAUGUUCGAUAGAACUCCAACCACUCCGAGUUGAACUAACCGAGUCUUGAUUGACCGAGUUAUAGACACCGAAAUCAAAAAACAGGACCACUUCGUUUAAAUCCUGAUGGUCGUUUUCAAUUUUGAGAAGUUGUAAUAGAACCGGCAAGACGUCCUGUGUACCUGCAACGAGCUGUUUUGAUUGGUUGUUUAUUGUAAUUGACUCCAAAACGGUGACGCAUGCGAUAUCGUACUCCAAACUUCCGUUUCGCAAAACAGAAAUAAAGGAAGGCAGGCAAUUCGAAUUUGAUGUGAAGACUAAUUCGUGCAAUUUCUCAUUGACUCCAUUUUCAAGCAAAACUGAACUUAAAACCCUGAUAACCGACUCCAGAACACGAAUUGGCACGCAAUUUGUGUUCAAAACACCCACGAUCGCCUCCAAAAAACCAUCAAAGCUGACCAAAAACCUUCGGCUGACCUCUCCACAACUAACAAACUCUACAAUCGAAUCCAAACACCUCUCUAUCUUUCCGCUCUUAAUUUCUUCAAUCCAAGCCCUAACUUUCUCUUCGGAAACUGCCGGAGCGAGAGCAGAGGAUUUGGUGGCGCUGUGGUGGUCCAGAGGUUGAUGAGGCGGUGGAGAGUGAGGUUAGGAACAAAUUCCUUGGAGGAGAGGAUUUGCAUGGUGGCGGGACAGGUGUCGUGACCGGAGUCGAGCCAAUGUUGAAUACUGGAGCGAUCGUAUGUGACGCCGGUGGAGAGACUUACGGGAGACUUCAUUACGUCGAGAGAGAUCGGACAGCGAAAGAGGCUGGGUACAGUUAUGCAGAGUUCGUCUCUCCCCAUUCUUCUGAGGAAAAAAAAAAACAGAGAGGGAGGCAAAGGUUGGGGACAGUAGACGGAGGGGUUUUGUAGGGGAAGGAACGAGUCAAAGUGUAACGUCGUAUUUUUUUCUUAGUCAAAUUUUCAAUUUGUUUUUAUAUUUUUAAUAAAAGGGAUGAGCUGGAAUUGAACUGUGCGCGAUCCAAUUAUUUAAAAAAAACAAUUUAAUUUUUAUUUUAAAAAUAAAAAAAAAUAUUAUUUUAAUAUAUUUAUUUAAAAAAAAAAACCUCUGUCCCUAUCCCAGCAUCUUUUAAAAUUAGCAUGCACCGCGUAACCGGUGGAACUCUUCUCCCUUUGGUGGUCCCCCUACCCCCCUUCAAGGUAUUUUCUACCCUCUUUUCUUUAUUUAUUUUCCUUACAAGUCGGGCAUAAUUUUAUUUUUAUUCAAAAGUAUCUUCAAUGUUUGAAAGAUUGCUUGGACAUGGCAGAAUAGAAUAACUUGGUCAAGUUUCACUUAGUUUUUCUAUUAAAAAAAUAAAUCAUCUUAAAGAUAUUGAAGUGUGAAUCGGUUCACUUAUUUUUAAUAAAUAAAAAUACAAAGAUGAAUCUCUUCUUUCAAGAGAAAUAAUCCCACCCACCAGAAGAAAACACGGUGAGAGAUAUAUGAACAUUUUUCUGGUCUAUGAGAGCGUCUGUCACGAAAUAAACGAAAGUCAAAUUGUGUUACAUAUGUACGACUACUCAAGAUUGCUUAUUUCACGAUUAGGUGUGGGGCAGGGCCACGUAGACUUUUUGAACCUUCCAUUAGUCCAGUUUGGAGUCCAAUUUGGUGUUCCCUUAGCGUUGGGUUUUAAUUUAUUAUUAUAUUUUUUUAGGUACAAAUAUGUAUUAAUUAUUAUUUUAAUUUUUAAUAAUUUAUUUUUUUUAGUUUUACGUGGGUGUCCGGGUCAGCUUGCACGCACCUCGACUAAUCCUACGGGCCCUGAAGUUAACGACCAUGUAAGCUCAGUGGCCAUCAUAUGAGCAACAAGACUCGAACCUAGACCACAUAGAAACAAAUCUCUUGGUCCCAAACUUUAUCAUUAGGCCAACCUAGAUCGUUAUUUUUUUUAAUAAUUAUUAGUACUAUGAGUAGGUGAGUUUCUUGUACGUGAAGAUUUUGAACGCAAGAGGAUUCAACUCAAAAGAAGAAAUUUAAUGCAGAAAAGAGGUGUGUUUGAAACUUUGAAUAUAAUGCCUUCCGUUAGACAAGAAAACGCAUUCACUCGCGUGCUUUCCUUACUGUUGACCGAUUACCUAACUUGUUUUGUUUACAUGUGAUUUUCUCCGAUGAUCCAAUCUCAAAUCCUUGGUUGGGUUUUCUUCCUUCUCUCUUGAGAUUCUCUCCCGUAUGAACUAAGGAAAAAUAGACAAAUGCUUGAGGCAUUUUAGGUCCUACUGGCGACUAAUUAUAAAAAUCCAACUUUAGCUUAUUUUCAAAUCUGUGUGGCAACAUAUACAAAAGAGAAAGAGUGAGAAGAUGGCAGCUUGAACCAUUUAUGUUCAAGUUUUGAUAGCUAACUAAUUUAAUAUUGGGUCAAGUUAAAUUUUUAUGGAAGUUGAAUUUUUAACUUAACUGAAACAAACACUUAUAUACCUAUUAUUUUUAAUUAUAUAUAGUCGAAGUUUUUAAUUGGAUUACAGUCUUGUGAUUUUUUUUUAUAUCAAGAUUUUUCACAUAAAAAUCUUAGAAUUGAUUUAUUAUGAUGGCUUGCCUUUUUUAUUUUUAUUUUUGAUUGGUUUGCACAAUGAGAGAAAAGAGUUGGGACUUGUGAAUUGUAAAAUUGUAAAAUUGUUUAUAUUGAUGCAUUUUCCCAAUAAAAUGGUAUCAAUGCUUGAUUGAUUGUGUAGAUUAUUAUUGUGUGUGUGUGUAUGAAUAUUCAUGUAGAGAAAUAAGAAAGCAAUCACAAUAAAUUCUUGUAGAAAAAUGAUUCAUGGUCUUGAUCCACAAGAAAAAUAAUUUAUCUUACAAAGAAAAUACUUUAAAAAGUCAGAUACUAAUCACAUAUCUCUAGAUUAAUUAAAUAAUUCUAAUAUCAUAAAUAUUAUAAAGAAAGCUCUUGCAUCAAUGUUUAGGUUAUUUCAUAUUUUUUUUAAAAAAAAUAAACAAUAUAGUCUGGUGUGAAAAAAUACAAUUAAAGACUAUAAACACUAUAAACAAGCCAUUACAUCAUACUUCUUUUUAAUCUGUAAUGUUGUCUUUAGAUGGAAAUCAAAUCCUGUAACGGAAUCCAUUUGUUUUAAUCAUUCCACUUAAUUUGUUUUAGCUAGUUUGGCAUGUUUAAAAGUGUGGUGGUUUUUACUGUUGUGAUUUGUAAAAAAUUAGUUUAAUGAAAUUACUUUUAGUUACGGUGUGUUUAUUAAAAUAUACAUUUAAUUUAAACUGUGGUUAAAAUUAUUAAUGACUAAAAAACAGUUAUUCUAGACCAUAUGCAUCCUCUCCAAAGUCCAAUUCCAAGCUCUCAAGUCUCAACCUCCUAAAAAUCUAAAACUUCCUUACGCUUAGGCCCAAUAUGCUUUAAGGUCAUAUCUCCCUUCCCUUUAGGCUCCCCUUUCCAACAAUAAAUGUCGGGUUAUAUAAGCACCGAUUUUGAGUUUUAAGAAUAGAUAGAAAGCUAGACUGCCCACAGUUUAUACGAAAACAAGGAAAAGAGCUAGCUUGCCCAGGCCACACAUGAAAUGGAUAUGACAUGGCAAUGCGCAAACGGCCCAUCCAUUUCCUGAGCUCAACAUUACAAGUCAAUGAAGAAACGACGUGAAGAAAUUAGCAAAGUUAUGUCUUUUAUAAGAAGGAAUUGGCAAAGUUAAAUGUCCACAAAAGUUGUGAUUUUUAAUCCUAAUCUUGUGAGUUGUUAAUCCUCGAGCAGCAGGUGUUGAAUUGGCACUGAAAAAACAGGCUCUCCAACCCUAAAUGGAGUUUUAGAUGACACAUAUUAUUGCUAGACUGCGAGUCUAUGGAUAUAGACAUGACGACAAUGUUUCGCAUCAUCGCGAAAUUUGAGGAGGAUAACUUGGACGGACAACUGUGAAAUCGAUAAAAGCACAUAUCAACUUCGAAAAGCCUCGAUUCUACUCGCAUAUUAUUAUUAUAAUAACUUCAAAACUAUUGGUGGCUUCACUUUCGUUAUCAAAGGGUAAAUAAAUUGUUUUUGUUUACUUAAUUCAAGAGGAAAAGGUCUGUUUUUUCUCAAAUCUCAGAAGAAAUUCGAGAUUUGAGUCUAAACUUCUAGCCAAAAAUUGCACGAGAGAAGAAAGAAGAGAAGGGAUGUUCGCCUACCUAGCCUACUCCUUCCUCUAAAAUAUUUUAUCAAUGGAGGAAUAAUAUCAUUUUUUUUAAUUAGAAAAAAAAACGAUUUUGAUCUAGGAUGUGAUAACUUUAAUUCAUCGAAGGAAAACCCCAACCUUAUCUAGUGUUCAGAAAUGACUCCACAUGCAGAGACUAGUCACUUGAACAUUCAAUCGAGAGAAAACCCACAAGCUCCACAAGAAUGCUAGUCACUUCUGUCCCUCGAUCUUAAAAUCGGCCUCUUCGACUCAGCCUCUCUCUUUUUAGCGCACCAAUUUAUUAACCCUAUUUAUUGAGCAUCCGUACCCUCCCUGUUACAGCAAUUGAGAUAAAAUUAAGAACAAUCCAAUAAAGUUACUAAAAAAAAAAAGUGGAAUAUCAAUGAAAGAGAGCUAAAGAUCUGGUGUUGCUCACGCCUCCGAUAGUGCGGAUUGGGAGACACUCCUUUUAAUUAGGGGAAAGGGAGUGUGUUGUGAAAGAGGAGAUGACACCAUGUACUCGAAAGGUCUUUAAAGGGUCCUAAGCGGAUUAGCAAAGGGACAAAUUUCCCUGAGGAACCUGACACAACAGUUCAAGCCUGUAGUCGGCCAUCAAGUAUGGUAUGGACCCAUGUAGACACCUAACCAUGCUACACGGCUCCCUCUUUUUCUCCAAAUCUUUUCUCCUUUUUCUUCCAUUUUGUAAAUAUACUUUUGGCCUUGAUGUCUCAUGAGUACAGGUUCACUCAAGACACUCUUCCUAGAGACCCGUUCAAUCCACGGGUCUCUCGGUACAAAUUUAAUGCGCAGACUAUUUGGUAGGGCAAUUAAUUAAUUUUACUUGGUCUUGUACAUUAAUUAGUCAUCGCAUGUUAUUAAUUUCCAAAAAAAAAAACACAAUAAACAGAACACAACCCAAUAUAGGUCAAUGUAAAAGCACAUGCCGGCCCAGCAUUUACUUCCCCAUGUUUCCACAUUUCCUCCUUGUUCGAAUUUUGUUUAGCACUUCAUCCAUGCAUUUCCUUUGCAAACAAGCCACCUCCAAUACCACCAUCAUACCGAACUCACUAUUUAUUACCGGUUUGUGUGUGUGUGUGUGUGUCUGUGUGUGUGUCUGUGUCUGUAUAUACAUAUCCUAUGCAUGAGUUUUUGUAGCUAUCAGUCAUUUCCUUUGUAAACCUUCUGGCUUACUACACCCUCCCUCUCCUGUCGGACUCUCUCUCUCUCUCUCUCUCUCUCUCCCCCUCCCUCCUUAUACAGUCUUCGUUUGUUUUUGGGUUGCUUAUAUGGGGAGGAGUCAUCUGGUUCUAGUUCUAUGGUUACUCUUGCUCGCACCAUUUGUUAGUCAUACUUAUGGCUCGAGGCAGACUAAGAUUUUCAAGAUGAUUGAACCGAAUUCUCAGAAUUCUUCACCGGGUACUUUCUCGGGGUUCUUCCCGAAGGGAAUGCCGAUCCCCCCAUCUGGUCCUUCGAAGAAGCACAAUGACAUCGGUUUGCGAAGUUCCGAGCCAUUGCCAUGAAUAAGAGUCCACGACUCGAGUGAUUAAUUACUUGUGUCUUUCAAUUGUUUCACCACUCAUAGAAGCAGGGUAUGUGUAUCACUAGAUGGGGACUGGCUAUUAGGUUAUUUGUUCAACUUCUUGGCAUUUCUCUUCUUUUUGCUCCAUCUCAUGAGAGAACUUUUUAUUUUUGUUAAAGAUCUCAUGAUCAUGAGGAAGCAAAGGUUAGUUACUCAAGCUUACAGAGAAACAUCGUCUAGUAUGGACUUUCCUUCUCUUGAAGGAUAUUCUAAGAUAGUUUUAGCAUUUGCUUAUCUCGUUCCUGGUUGGAAUAGAAUGACAGAGACAAAACUGAAAGGAAAAUAUUUUUUUUGUAAACACAUCUAUAAAUAUUUGUAACAAACUUGCAGUAUUCUUUUCGUCCUGCCUGCCUGCCUAUAUAGUUUCUUAUCUCGCCAAGUCUAGAAUUGCUGAGGCAUUCUUGGAUUUUAGACCUUUUUGAAUUUCAUUAUUUUGUUACUUCAUCAUUCGUGACAUGUAAUUGUUCUUCCGAUAUACAUGAUCCAACCCUUUUUACAAAGUCGAUGCUGCUGUUAUUCUACUCGUACUGCAUAAUUAAUGGGCUCGGCGGAUUCUCAUGAUUAAUCUCUUAGCUUUGCUGACCUGAACUGUGAAUGCGUGCAAGAAAUAAACAGUUGAUCAAAGUGACCUUACACACUCAUGAGCUAUGCAAAGGAGGGACAAUGGCGGUACCAUGUUCCUUUCCUUUUGAUUGAUCUGAUAUAACAUUUAGUACUCGAUUGGGUGUUGGUGGUGGUAUUUAUGGUUGUUUUUUAUAAAAUUUUAUUUUUAAAAAAUUAAUAUAUUUUAGUAUUUUUAGUUAAUAUUAAAAUAAAUUUUAAAAAAUAAAAAAAUAUUAUUUAAAUAUAAGUUAUACCAUAACGCCAUGGUUUAUAUUUGUAAGGUAUGGUGGUGAUUAAACGACCAGUAUCUCAACCUCCACCAUGCAUAUUUCACUGCAUAAGCUUUUAGCUUUAUCUCAAGGCCGGCUGCUAGUGGUACGGCUGCUAGGUAGACAUGAAGCUACAAGCAAAGACUUUGAAGUAAGUAACGUUGUUACAGUGAUGACGGAAGCGACACCAUAGGAUGUACAAAGGUCUGCUCUGAGCAUUUAUGAUACUCGUUCAGUGCUGGAACCCACACGUAACUUUAUAGGUGUUUUAUAAUUCUUCUCACAGUUUAAAAAAAAGUUUCGAGAUAAAUCAUACGUUUUAGAAAAGUAUUUGUAAAAUAUAAUAGUUUAAAUACAAAUGCUAUUCAUUUAUAUAAAAAAAAAUUAUUCAAAUUUUCAUGAAAAGUUUUAAAAAUAAAAUUUAAAUUUAAUAGCAAAAAAAAAAAUAGAUCGCCAAGAAUAUAUUAUAACUUUGUUUUUGACAUACCUAACACUUUAAGAUACAAUUCUAACCAAAAAAAUUUUAAAAACAUAAUUUUAAUUUAUUAGAGGUUUUGUUCAUAAUUAAUAUAGAAUUAAUUAUAAUCUUAUUUAAUAGUUUUUAAAAUAUAAUUAAAAUUAUCAUCAAAUAUAUCAAAAGUAAAUUCUCGUUAUUCACAAUGAUAUAUAUAUAUAUAUAUAUAUAUAUAUAUAUAUAUAUAUAUAUAUAUUAUUAUUACUAAUGAUUUAUUUUUUCUUACUUUAUUUCUCUUUAGGACCACAUUACUUUACCUUCUUAUCUCCUUAUCCAUAUUAAAUCUUAUCUUUUAAUCAUUAAUUUUUUAUAAAAUUUUAAAUUAACUUUUGAUGAAAUUAAUUUAUUUUUUUUAAAAAAAAAAAAAAAACAUCACGAUACAAACACUUCAACCAAUUCUCAAUAGCGAUUCUACACCAUUAAUAUUGGAAAUUAUGCUCACACUAUUAUUUUUUAAAUAUUUUUUUAAUCUAUAUUAUUCUCUCACAAUUUUUAACAAUUUACGUUAUUUUCCAAAAAAAUAAAAAAUCCUAACUAUUCAAAAGGUUUUCCGCAGUACCCGACGAUUCUACGAACUUCGAUCCCAGACGAUAUUGUUACAACCAUGUGAGAUCAGGCUAGGAUGCGAGAUGUAGUCAAGACAAUAGAUCCAGAAAUUGAAAGUACAAAAUGGUUGCUACAUCCAGGGUGAUACAGGAAAGGAAGUAAUAUUACUUGAUUGAUUAUUUUAACUACCAAAUGCUCAGUAUUUCAUGGCCAAAUCCAUAGUUUUAAAACCUAAUCUGACCUCAACCUGAAACUCAGGACUGAAACUGAACCCAGGUUUAUAAAAAAAUAAAUAUAAUUAAAAACUUGAUUGACCUGGUAAGUUUACCAGUGACCCGAUCAAAACUCAUGUCACUGAUCAAAACUCAUAACCCAAGCUUUGAACGAGAUCAGCCACUGGGACCGGUUUAAAAAUCACUGGCCAAAACCACACAAUUUGAAACCGUUGUACGGCGCAGCCACAGCUGAUUGGCAUUUGCUGUGUUGUCUAUGAUCUGAUUUAAACUUGUCUAAAACAAUGAAAUGGCAGGUCAAGGUAUUCGGGGAAAAUCCUGCAAAUAAACCUUCCCAUAACAAAGAGGAUUGAUAUAAAAGGGACCCAAAAACUCAGUAUGGAUGGCUGGAAAGCCAGGAACAAAAACUUUCUUGCCUGGAUUGUCGCAAUUGAUGCUUUUUAUAUACACUACAAUACAAUAGAUAUAAAAGGGUUAGAUACCCCAGCAGAAUUAAAUGGAAGAAAUAAAUUGAGGAGGGGAUGAGAGGAGGAGAACAUCAAUCAAAAGAAAAGAGGACAGAGAGAGGGCUAUUGGCUUUCCUUCAUCUUUGCUUAACCUUAAAACCGUUUGUUUUCGAAGGUGCAAGAUGUGCUAACAGACUCCCCCUCCAGCAUUCUGUUGCUAAGGUAGAGAAGCAGAGGACAUGCCUCCCUCUGAUCUGCGAGCUGCCUGGCCACUAACUGAUGAUUUGUCUGAACCUCUAACAUUGUACUUCUCAUACACUUUUUCACGAUUCUCCGACCACCAAGUUUCUGCUUGGUGCUCCCCAAAUCUUCUCCGACUGCAGAUAAAUUAAUAGGGACAGACAUAAAUGAAACGAUUAAGAGAUCAAAUCAGCUCUGAUUAAGAUGAUUUCAAACCUUUGCAAGGUGAAACGUUGAUGUAAUACUAUCAAAGCUCAUGUUCAGAAUGAUCUAUGAUUGUUUAUAAAAAUGCAAUCUUGAAUUAUAAAAAAAGCCUAUCAGCAACGUCAUGUUAACCAAUUGUUUAGAUUUCUUCUAGCUCUAUGCCAUACAAAAUGAGUGAGUCAUUAAUAUCUAAAAUAAAAUGAAAUAAAGUACCUGAAGCGCACUCGUUUGAGAUCUCUAGUUCCGUCGCGCAGGGAAACAAGAGUGAUAUACACUCCAGGCUCAUACUGUUCAAUCCACUCAGCCUCAACAUGAUUACCAUUAGCAACCGAUGAUGAAUCCCUCGAUUUCAUACUAUUCUCGCCAUCUUGAGGAGACCGAGGUUCCUUCCUGGCAACAGCAUCUGACACAGUAUUACAACUUGGCUGAUCCCCUCCACCAUUGGACAGUCUCACAUCUGGAUGGUCAUCCCUCCCAUUGGCUCCAGGUGAAUCCCGGACUGACUGAGUGAUACCUAGAGUUCCAUUUAUUGAAAUUGAGUCGAUCCUUGUCGGGGAAGCCAAGGAAGUUCCACUGAUAGAAUCAGAUCUUGAAUGCCGUUCUCCAUUUGCAUCAGGAAAAUGAAUGCCAUUUGUCUCCAAACCAUUUGCUAUGUAAGCUGGUCUCAGGCUCUCAGUGUCAUAGACCCCAGGCGGCAGCCUCUCAGCCAUAUCCUUGAGCUGGAAUUGAUAAGUGUAGAAAUCAUUAGUACAAAACAAGAGUAAGUCAAGAAAAAGAGAGGAAAAUUUCUAACAAUAUAAAAGACAAGGAUAUUCUCUAAUGGCUAUAAUGGGAAUGUUAGCUACCUAAAUUAACGGCAACCAGUGUUUCAUUCCUUCAGAAAUCUAUUCUAUCAAAUUCAUAUAGAUUUGAUGGGGUGGAUGCAUAUCGUGACAUACAUCAUAAUCAUGGUACAGAGGAGAUCAAACAAAAAUUUCCAAAAUUCAUUAACACGGAACCAAUGAUCAGUGGGCAAAAGCAGACUUACCUGUGCAGUAAGUGACUUUAUAACAUCUUUUGCAGCUUUGGACUUAGCUGAUUCGUCGGCGGCUACUGCCAUAGCUUCUUGUACCUUCUUAGCAGAUUUCUGGAGCUCUGAUUCUUGGAAUUCACAUCUCUGUCUUAGGCUCUCAACCUAAACAAGAUCAAUACGCAUGAAUGAUCAAACCCGGCCCAAAACAUAAAAACCUGACUUAAUUCAUACAGAAACAUGUGAUUAAUUUUUGCGGAAAACUCAGCCAGCAUACCUGUGUACGCAGCUUAAGCACUUCUUGAUUCAAAAGUUCGUUUGUUUUCUUCAAACUAUCAGCUAUACUUUUGGAAAAGGAAAGUCCUGACGUUGUUGGGACAGGCGUUGCAGAACGUGGGGGGCUAGGUCUCCUUGAGAAGGGCGACACGGAUCUGGAACUUACUCCAGAUGGUGUAAGAACAGGUUUGGGAACCUUUGGUCGCAGAUCAAUAGUGGUAGACAAAACAACAUCUUUCAGCUGCAACAAAGAAGGUGCUUGAGAAGACCGAACAAGAGAAAACGUAUCAGCUUUCUUUCCUUGUUUGGCUGCUUUGCUAUCUAAUUGCUUAAUCAAAUCCAAAUUUGAAGGCGUUGUUAACUUCGACAACCUUAAAUCAGCCUUGUCCAGCCUGUCCUUGUUUUCACCUGAAAGGCGAGGUCCAGCAUUUCUUCUGUUGGUGUUACUAGCAUCCGACACCUUAUUUAGUUUGGUAAAACAGGAAUCACAGACACGAUAUGGUUUGCUGGGAUUAGGAGCUAAGGCUGCUCUUGUUGCUUUUCUGGAACUGCAUGAAUGGCAGUGAACAAGUCCACAGUUAUAGCAGUUAUGCCUUUUACGUGUGAACCCAAAAGCCUGUCUGCAGGAUGAACAUUGAGAUUGCUCAGAACCAGAUACCCAUUUAUGGAGGCAUAUAGCUGCAGAAUAGUUUGCACCGCAUGCAAUAUAUUUCACAUGUUUAUCCUUCAAAGCUUCAACUAGAGUAGGUGUUUUUCGAUCUUCACCAUCUCCAUGACCCAACCUGCCAUUGGCACCCUUUCCCCAGGUAUAAACCUCAUUUCUGGAUGUCAAAACCGCUACAUGAUAUGCACCACAAGCAAUUUCUUCAACAGAUUCUCCAGAAAGCUUAUCUUCUACCAAGCAGGGUACCUUUCCAUCAGCAUAAGGAUUUCCAAGUUGACCAUAAACAGUACUGCCCAUUGUGAAUACAUCUCCCGAUGUGGUCAAGCCAACAGUUAAACUAUGUCCACAAGCAAUUUUGUGAAAAUUGUAAUCAAUUAAUGCUGGCACACAUGUGGGUUUAAGCUUAGGUUCUUUGUCUCCAUGUCCAAGACGAUUUUUGUCUCCAUCGCCCCAGGUAAAUAAUUUUCCAGAUGACACACUGGAACUUGAAUGUGUGACAAUAACCUCCACCACAGCAGCGGUAUGCCACACACCACAAGCAACAGCAAUAGUCCUCAACCCAGCGAGUGAUUCAACUUCUCUAGGAUAGGCAAUAUUUUCUUUGUUUCCAUGUCCCAAGACACCAAACGUUCCAUCACCAAAUGUAAAAAGCUGCCCUGUUGACGUCACCAAGGCUGUAUGCCACGGACCACAUGUUACAGAAGCAACUUGAAGACCCUCAAGAGGACCAGAGAUUCUCUUGGGUAUCCAGUGACUAAUAUCAGUGCCAUGACCAAGAAGCCCCGCAUAGUGCAUCCCAUCUCCCCAUGUAUAGAUUUCCCCAGCCAUUGUAACAGCACAAGUAUGGAAUUCUCCACAUGCUAUAAAGUCAACAGUAGUCAUUGCCAAAGACUCAACCAGGCGAGGUUGAAUAACAUCUUUCCCAACGCCAUGGCCAAGCCUUCCACCAGAUUCUUCACCCCAUGUAAAAACUUCACCCUGCCUUGUGACCAUUGCAGCAUGUCUGAAUCCACAGGCAAUAUGAUGUACAUCUAAAACUACAUUAGAUUCUAAGGGCCUGGGAAGAAGCACAUCAGCUCUAGUGCUCAAAUAUGUGGCAUUCUUAUCAGCCCCGACCUUGACAGCAUUAUCACAUAUAAUCUCACCCCAUACGUAUACAUCACCUAAGGCAUCACAGUCAUCUGGUGCAGAACCAUGACUGGAAGUGCUGGGAGCACUGGAAACACUAACUCUAAAAGCAUCUGAACCAGAACCUUUGACUUGCAUAUUUGUGUUUUCUGAUGCUACAUGUGACCGAUCAGAAUGUGGAGAACUCUCAAGCUGAAAAUUCUUCGGAGAAGUAUUUGGGUUGAAACUGACAGAAACCUCUGGAGAGCUAAUAUCUCGUGAAAUACUAACAGAACUGUCACUAGCACUGUUUGGUGUUAAAUCUCUGCCAUCCUGAAAUCAGAAAUUUUCAUGACAAACAAUACACAGCAGCAUAAUUAGGAAACAACAAUGAACUUUGCACUGAAACAAGAAUAUAGCAUCACUAAUGUAAUGAACAAAGAAAACAAGACAGAACUCCAGAGUCAAGAUAGGGUACAGGGAAGGAAAAGAGGAAGAGGAGGAAGUAUGAGGUGAAAAUUAACUAAAGUUUCACUAGGUAUAGAAUUACAUCAAGAUAGAGGCCCCCGUCACUCCAUCCAUCGAUUUUGGAGCGCCCACCUUGACCAGAGAUUAUUAAUGCCUUCAAGCCUGCAAUCCACACCUCCGCCUCAACUUUGUCCUUGCAAAUCUGAAAACAUGACAUAUAAGAUUCACAAUUUAAGCAGAUAAAGAAGAAAAACACAACUUCACAACUUCAUCCUAUACCAGAUCGAGGGACCGCUUCCCGUUGUUGUAUAUAAGAGAAAAUGAUAAAUAGUCCUUUUCAGGGCGGAGAUAUCGUUGAAAAACAGCCUGGUAGCACAUUAAGAGAAAACAAAUAGAACGGGUUUAUAUAGUAUAUACAAGAACAGAAUCAUUAAAUAUACUAUGCUAUGCUAAAAACAUAAAACAGAUAUGAAAGUGAUGGCAAAUCUCACAGUUCUUUGUCCAGGAAUAAUUUUAGAGACCGAGGCUAACUUCAAACUUCUUUCACCACUGCUUGAAAUCCAGAUCAAAGUCGUUUCAUCCUGUGAUUUUUAAACAUAAGAAAAGUAGAGUGUUAAAAAGGGAAGGAUGGGAGAGAGAAGAGAAGAGCGGGCAAUCUGCAUGCUGAAUGACAAGGCCACAGGUUACAUCAUAUUUACCUAAGAAAGAAACAAUCAAACAGUAGAAGACAACACACUAGAUGAGCACAUGUAGAGCAAAUAAGAUGACUUGUAUUAAAGAUGACAUGGGAUUCUUCACGAAACACACUGACCAGUUCAUUAAGUUAUUCACUAAAGGCAAUAUAGAUGCUCACUGAAACACCACGUAUAUAAUCUACUGACCGAUAACAAACUCCAGUGGACAGGGUACACAGGUUUUGGGCAAAACAAUAACGAGCAAUUUGAUGUGCAUCGAAAAAUCCCAUAAAUGAUAUGUUAUAUAUAAUUUUCAUAGUUUAUUACAUAUGCAUGCCAUUGUAUGACCAUAUCUAUACAUCCUCAGAUGAUUAUAAUAAUCAUUAUAAACAGCAGUUCGACUGCAAAUCACACUGAAGAGGAUCAUUUGUUUUAUGAAAAAGUCAUUACCCUAAACAUUUAAAACUGAAAAUGAGUGCAGUAACAACUGAGAGUAUCCUUGGUCAAAUGCACAAGAAUCAAACUUACAUUAGAAAGUCUGAACGGACAAAACUUAGGCUUUCCCUUACGACCAUAUUUCAGAAGUUGAGAACCCUUCUUCAGAGCAAUCAAUGCCUGCAAGAUGCAGAAAGAUAAUUUACUACCAUUGGGAUAAUACCUUUGGUAUGUGGACAUUAUAUUAUUCAGUCAAUCAAAAAAAGAAAAAGGUGUUAAAUUUAGUUCAUUAUUUUAAACAUGUUUUGGCACAACAUGCUUGUUAAGAUUAUCAAGACACCAAAGAUUUCUAAAACGUACAGUUAUCAGAGGCACAUUAUUGCUUGUUAUAAUCAAAACUCGUUAUUGGAUCUGCUUGAAAGAGAUACCAUCCCACACCCCAUCUUAUAAAUUGAUCUUAUCCUUUACAAGUUUGCAAAAAAAAAAAUGAAAUCAACCUGCAAGUAUUGGCAUUGAAAGUAUGGCAAAUUUGGGUCAUUACAUAUGAUGAAAGCUAUUUGUUGAGCGAUCCCAUCAUAAGUCCAAAAAUAAUGGUCAAUAUUGUUCUUGGCAUACCAUAUAGUGUUCUAGUAUUAAGUAGAGGCGUAAGCACUUGUUCCCUCUAAAAUGCACCUAUAAACCCCCACUUCAAUUGCUAAAAAUAGCCAUAGCCAACUAAAAGUUUCAAAAAGAAAAAUGGAUGAAAAUGGUAGUGAAAACAUAAGGCAUUUUAUGGACCGUUAAGACUCUACUCCAGACAUAACCAAAAAGAAAGAAGAUAAAGAAGAACGAUGUAUCCUAUUUUCACUCGGAGAAUGGAUAACUAAAAGCAAGAGAAACAAUUUCCUUUAAUUUCUCCCCCUUUCAAAUAGGCCAACCUUAUUCCAUGCAAAUUUUAAAUUGAAUUCAAAAACCCAAAAAAAAAAAAACCAUCGAAUUAAGCACUUUUUUCUUUCAAAAUUUGUCAAGGUGAAACAAAUUUCCAUCUCAUUUCUCCACGAAUAGAAGAAAAUUACAAAUAAUAUUAACAAUAAAUUCACGCAAAAUUCAAAGGCAUUUCCCACCUAAAUAAAUAGAUAAAACAAAAAAAAAAAAAAUUCAAAAAAGAAUCCCAACCUUGACACUAAUUAAACGCACGCGUGGGUAGAGAGAGAGGAUGGUACCUGCUCGAUGUCACGUUCGGCAUUACCGUAGCUAACAAGAUCUGCCAUUCCAUGUGAAGAUAUUUACGAAAACACAACCUCCCUCUCCGAUCGCUCACCGGAGCUCCGUUCAUCAUAUACCAUCUACUUCCUCUUCACAUCAAUACCCCUCGCUCUCUCUAGCAAAAAAAUCAGCUCUUUACAGAUCUAUAAUUCUCUCGAAAACCACCAAAAAAAUCAAGUCAAAGCCGGUGAUCGUCACUGUUGACUAAGAAGAUUAAAGAGCGAAGAGCGGUUCCCACGGUGAAAGAAGUCGGUUUUGUGGCAGAUUGAGAGGAUUCCGACGAGAGAAAGUGGUGGUGUCGGGGAGAGAAACGGAAGGGAAGAGAGACUCUUCGGUUGUUUUUUUGUAAGAAUAAAUACAAGUACGGAGAGAGUCGAAGCCGAGAUAACAAAUGGGAACUUGUGUUAAAAACUUAAAUUGUUGUUGUGAGAGCAUGAAUUCUCCGGAGAGAAAAAAAAAUAAGAAAGCUAAGCCACCAUUAUUGCCCUUCUUAUUUUAUUUUACAUGGUUAUUAGAAAAGGUCUAUGAUAGUAUUCACAUAUGAAGUAUUACUUCUUCUUUUUUCAUUUUUUACUUUUCUAAAGUACUUGUUUGGUGCAUCAUUUGAAUUAGUUCUUAGAAAGAUCAGUGAGUAGGGGUAUGUUGCCAAGAUUAUUCGUGAAAAUAGUUCUCUUCUUCCCUUGAUUUCUUUCAAGUAAAGUUUGUGUUCAACGUCGUGGGAGUAGUUUGAUUUGUAGGUGGAUUAAUUUGGGUUAAUAUUUAUAAUGAAAUGCUAUAUUUUAUUAUUUUCUAAAAUAAAUUUAUAAAAUAUCAAAUUUUAUUGAUUGUGAUCCAGUCAAAUAAAUUUCAUGGAGUUAAUAUAAUUUCUUGAUUCAAUUUAAAACUUGAUCCAAUUCAAGAUCGUGAAUUAACCUAUAAGACCGAGCUGAGUUGAAUUACAAUGAUUUUAUAUAAAAACUUGAUUUUCCUAGAAAAUAAAACUUAUUAUUCAUACUAUGAUUUAAAAAUAAGUAUAAUUUAUUUGUUAUCAUGAAAGAGGGUUUGAAAUCUAGGUAAUUAUUAUUAUUAUUUCAAAUCUUGGGUAACAUUAAGAGAUUUUUAUUAUUUUGUAAAUUAUAUCUAUUUACAGUACAAUUAAUGUAAUGUAGGUUUUAUUUUUAUUUUUCCAUAAAUAAAAAUUAAAACUUCCAUGCCCCUCCUAUAAAUGGUAAUGAACUUCUUCACAUUUUUUUUCUUUAGAAAAAGAAAGAGGGGGGGGGGCAUAAAGGAAAAGGCGGGGUAGCCAAACAGGUCCUAGUUAUCGGGAGUUGUGAAGAGUUAACGCUCUUGUGUUAUGUUGGACUUUCUGCUUUGAGGCUGAGGGAGGGGGGGGGGGGCGCACGUAGAGGUAGUGGGGUGUAAGGUAACGGACACGCAACACAUUGAGAAGCUUAACGUUUGCCUUGGUACAUUUAAGUGACGAAAAUGCCUAUGAUGGAGAGUGACGUGGUGGUAAAAAAGCGGCGGUAUGUACUUGAGUCCACCGCAAGCGCAGGGGUAGGCUAGGUAACUUCCGUUUCGAUGAAAAAGAAAGCAAGGAUAUUGUGUCGAGCCAUUAAAAGAGAAGUCCUGCAUGGGUCCCAGGAUACGGUGCCGUUUAUGACGCUCAGAUUUUUGGAGACCAACGAGGAGAAUGUAUUGUAUGGCUUAGGCGAAACCAGACGCCUGGAUGUAAUAUCUUGGGGUUUUUAGUGAAUUUGAUAUCUCUCAUGAAAUCUAGGGAAUUAGGAUAAUACACGAUAUUUAGGUUGUAUCUGAAAUCCGAGGUCUUGUAGAUAUGUCCCAUGAGUUGAGAGUUAACGAUUCUUUGUCAGGUGUUAAGAGGGAAUCCGUGUGGUAGUUAGGUUAACAGUGUGUAAUGGAUCGGGUCAUUCGAGGCUUUUGCUUUUAGAUAUUGCCACUGGUUCGAUGUCCGUGUUGAGCCGUAAUUUAACGUUUUAUUUUUAUAAAAAAAUUUGUAAAAAAUUAUAAUAUAAAAAAUAAUAUUUUUUAAUAUUAUUAAUAAUAUUUUUUUAAAAUUUAUUAAUUAUUUUAUUAAUUAUAGUAAAGAUAAUAAUAUUUAUUGCAUAAAUAAUUAUAUUAAAAAUUUCCAUAAUAAUAUUCCUAUAUCAAUACUUUGAGUUAUAAUAAAAAUAAUAAUAUUUUUAACACAGAUAAUACUAUUUUUGAUCUGAACACUUUGAAUUGUAAGAGAAAAAAUAAUAUUUAUAACAUACAUUAUUAUUAUAUUAUCUAACCACUUUUUAGCAACGAAACUCUUUGUUUUUUGUGUUAAAGAGUUUCAAUUGAUGAUAAGAGUUCAAUUGUUACGAGUCAUGGUAAUAAAUGUACCUCAAAAAGGAGCUUAGGUUCUAUUUUGAUUUUUCUGAUUCGGUUAAUUUUUUUUUUUACAUGUGAUCCUAGGUUGUUAGAUAGUUUAUGAUACCUUGUAUGGUUUUUAUUAUGUGUUUUCGAGUAAAAACAUAUUAGGAGAUGGAUUUUCAACUCAAACUCUCCUAAUUUUUCAUAAAAUAAUAAAAUUCAUGAGCUAUAAAUAUAUCAUGAGUUUUUAGAGUUGAAGGUUCACGAUCUCUUCAUUCUCAAUAUUACCCAUAACCUGACUUGCCAUAUACUAUUUGUUAUUAUCACAAUUAUCGAUCACUUGACUUAUUAGGCAUUGUCUACUAUCAUCACAACUACUAAUCAACUAACCUACCAAGUAUCGCUUAUUAUCAACUAUCAACCCUCUAAGCUUUUUACAUAAAAUCAUUAAAUACUUUAAUUAUAUAAAAUAAAUCAAAUUAUUUGAAUUAAGAAAUCAAGUUUUAAAUUAUUUUGAAUUUUAAAACUCGUCAAUAUUCUUGUAUAUUUUCUUCAUUAUAAGUCCUCCGAGUAUACAAAACUGCAAACAAUUGACUUCUAUUUUCACUGUCAAAGAUCUAAAAAAAAGCUUAAAAGCUAUCAACAACUAUAAAGAAAGAAAAAACACGUACACAGGAAUAACAAUAAGAAAAUCACAUUACAAUUCAUCAAAUAAUUAAAUCGUAUACCUGGUUUUUGCUCCAUGCCACUCUUUUCGAGUCAUUUAUUAAUGCUUCUGAUAUCUCUUGCUGAUAAUGAAAAGUGGCAACUUAAUUAUUCAUGAAACUUUAUAAAUUAUCUGUAUAUCUCUAAGAGGCAAUUUAAUAAAAAUUAUUCGUAAAACUUUAUUGUCAUCACGUAUAUGAGAGAAUAUUUUGAAGAAUAUUAUUUCAAUCCUUGACCAUGCCUACAAAAGAGGCUAACACGGUUUUGUUUUGUAAAAUUAUUUUUAAAGAAGCUUUUAUGACAUCCAUACAUGUCAAUAUGUUAUUAAGCUCUAAAAAAUACCUAGAUGUAUAUCAUUCACACAUUCUUGAUUCAGUAUAGAGAUUUUAAAUUUAUUUUGAGAGAAUUACAUUUAGUGUAUAAAUUGCAAUUAUCCACUAUAAUUUGAAAAUUACAAGGUUAAGAAAAAAAUUUAGGUGAGAUAAAAUAACUAAAUUAUCUUAUAUAUAUUAUAUCAAAAGAACCUCGAAUUAAAGCCUAGGAAGAACCCUAAAUUUUAUUCUAAUCUCUCUCUGUUUUUUUUUCUUCACUUCCAUUUGAGAGAAGGAAAACCAGAAUUGAAGUGUCUCAUCAACCGCUUUCCAAGGUUUGCUUAUACCGUGGUUAUUUAUUUUUUUUAGUUUAUUUCCUCUAUUUUUUUUUUAAUCACAAUCUUCUACUCUCCAGGAAACGAUGGCAUAUUAUUUGACAACUGGGACAACAAAAAUUGUCAGCGACAAUACGUUAACCGAGACAUGGAUGGAAAAGCUGGCUUAAUUUUUUUGGCCUACCAAGUGAAACUUUUCACGGAAAAAGCGAGCGAGUAGAGAAAAUGCCGAAGAGAUGGUAUUGUGUGGAGAAACAUUGACUGGUCUCCUGCGUUUCUUUUCCCUAUAGAAUUUACUGGUGUAUUUAUGGUGAGCUGCUGUUUGGCUUUUAACGUAAAUUGUUUUUUAAAAUAUAUUUUUUAUUUUUAAAAAAUUAUUUUUGAUAUCAAUAUUUUAAAAUAUUAAAAAAUAUUAAUUUAAAAUAAAAAAAUAAAAAAAAUUCAAAAACAUUUUACAAACACAAAAACAAACAAAAUAUUCUUCUACUUGGAGUUGAAUGGCGGAAAUCUCUUUUCGGUAACCAAAUACCGUCAAUCUGCACUCUAUACCCUCAAUCAUCAAAUGAAAAUGACGAAUGAAUUUAAGUUCUUUGAUGGUUGCUUAACUUUAUAACAUCUUUACUUAGUCUUCUGGGAUCAUCCUUAGACCAAUCCGCCGGGAUCGAACCAAAGUUCUUCAUCAACUCUCUCUUUUAGGUGAGAUUCAUACCAACAUGUGGGAUUGUAUAGUGAAAAGGAGUCCGGUUGCAGCACUGUUAUUGGCUUUUUUAGAUCCCAUCGAGCUGAACUGUGACACCACUAUUUUUAUUUUUUUAUGACUCUAUAUGUCUGGGUUAGCUUACGCGCACCACAACUAAUUCUAGGGUCUACUGAAUAUCCUGCAAGCUCAGUAAGCGGGUAAGGCACCGCGGGAGUGACAAGCUGGUACUCUUAAGGAUCGAACCCAGGACAUUCACAAAGACAAGCCUUGCAGUUGACCAAUGAACUAGACCCUCAAGUAUUGACACCUAUAUUCUUGUUUUUGUGGGAGGGUGUUGAUUUGAUAUUUAAUAAAGUUUAUAAUUUUUUAUUUUCAAAAUUUUAUUUUUAAUAGCAAUACAGAUAUAAAAACAUAAAAAAAAUUAAUUUUAAUUUUUUAUAUAUAUAAAAAUACUCUAUUCAUAGCUAUAUUGACAGAUCGAAUAAGAUAUACUAAUUUACGUUGUUUUAGAUUACAUAAAUUCGGCCGAUCCAAUGUAUAAGAUCAUAGCUACGUGGACAUCGCUCAUUAGCUUAUCCCCUCCCAAAAUUUAUUCGUUUUCGUUUUCCAAUCGUGAUUGUGCGGCAGAAAAGACGUAAAAGAAUAUUUUUAUUGUGUGAUUUUUUAACAAAAUUUUAUGCCCGUCGUAUCACCAGCUUAUUUAGCAUAAACCAUAUAUUCUGCUUUGGAAUUUCAGUUUCAAAAUACCUUGUUUAAGAAAUAAAAAUAUUAAAAUACUAUAAACCAUACAUUCCUGUAUGGUGAUGUAAAAAGUUAUUUAUACUAUAAACAAUAAAAUGUAACAAUUUAUUGAUAGUUAAUCAAUCUUUCACUUGGAAAUUGGGAUGGUUCAAAAAUUUUAAACAUGGAAAACUUAAUUCAGUAAACAAAUAAAUUUUAUUUAUGUUAUUUAAAAUAUUGUUUAUAUUUUUAAAAAUGAUUAAAUAAUAUACGAGCUAAGAAAACUAAUAAAAACACACGUAAACAAGCCUACACUAAUUUAAGUCGAAAAAGAAAUCUCCAGGUAUAAAGUAUAAACCCUUCUCCUAAAAAUAAAAUAAAAUACAUCCACACAAUUUGAAAAAAGAUUUGAAUCUUUAUUAGAUGUUAACUCGAGGUUUUUGACAAAUUGUUUUAUAUUGACGUGAGUUUAAUUUCAAGAAAAAGAAAAAGAAAAAGAAAAUCACGUCAGAUUGGGUAAUCUACCAGAGUCCAAUCAGCACUUGAUUAUAAAGAGACGAGGAGGCUUGGUAGUCAAGGGAACACCAGAACGGAACAAAAAGUGACAAAACCCGUGUGUGGAUGGAUCGUCUGAUUCCUGGUCAUCUCAAAGCUUUUCGGAAAUCGAGGGAUGGUGACAUUUUUAAUUUAUUUUUAAAAAGCUUAGUGAAGUAUUCCCAUCACUGAUGAAAAGGAUUGGCAUUGCUGUGUGUGCAUUUUCUUUGCUUUUGAGGAGUGGCCAUUUUUAAAAUGACAAGAAACACCCUCUCACUUCUGGUGGGGCUUCUCCCUGUCCGAAGCCGUGUCUUUUUUUUUAUUUGGUAGGUGAGCGACCAUGUUUAUUUGAUGAUGUCUUUCCUGCAUUCUCACAGGACCCACUGUCUGAUUACCGGAGAUUGCCUUUUUAAUUUCUAAGUGGGAAUAGUAUUUGUUUUUUUUAAAUAUAAAAAUAAUAUAAUUUUAUAUUUUUAAAAAAUAUUUUUAACAUCACAAAUUAAAAUAAUUAAAAAAAUAAAACAAUUAAUUUUAAAUAGAAAAAAAAUUCAAAUUCAAACACACGGUAAUUAAAAGGAGAUCGCCUAUUUCUUUCCCUCUUCUUUUUCUUUUUUUCUUUGCGGCGAUUAUUAAUCUUUUUUUCUUACAAAAAGGGUGGAUUAUUUGACGACUAUCUUAGCCGCCUAUUCCGUAGACUUGUUCAAGUUUCCAUCAUUCAAGUUUCCGUCACGUGAUGGGAAGGGAUACACAAUGAAAAUUGGCCAUGGAACGUCGGUCGGUCUCCAUUGGCGUUCCCGUUUCAAGAACUAUCAACUUCUGGAUGUAUUUUACUCACGGCUUGAUAUUGUUGAUGAGAUAUUUUAAAGAUAUAUUUUUUUAGAUAUUUGAAGAGUAAUUAGUAUUAUUUUAUUACUUAUUUUCUAGAUUUUUUUUUUCAAUCAGUAUUAUCAAUCAUCUUGUCGUAUUUCUAUGAAAUAGAUUAUAUUGAACUAUGAAAUGAUAAAUCACGGUGAUGCAUUGUGCAUAAAUUUAUUUGAAUUAAAACACCAAAAAUUACAUAAAUUGAUUGUUAGAUUUUUAGUAGUAAAAUUAACAGCAAUAAAAAUUGACAGAUUGAAAUAUUUUAUUGAUUUAAUAUAAUGUUUAUAGUAAUAUUUAUUUUAUUUUAGAAGUAUAAAAAUUGCUCCAGGUUUUUUUAAAAAAGAACAUAUUUACUGCAAAAAAUAAAUAAAAAGUAAGUUUGAACUCUCCAUCAAGUAACGGGACACCAAAAACAUCUAAUAUAUAUAGGAAGACUUGUUUUGUGAGUUAUCACUAAUCGCUUUGAAAAAGAGUGAUGGUAAGUAUAUAAGGAUUCUAAUACUUCAUUGCCCAACUUUUGACAGCAUUUGGUAAGUUGGAAGACGGAUAGGUAUUAUUUAUUUUUGUGUUUUAAAAAUAUUUAAAUUUGUUUUAUUUUUUUAUUUUAAAUUAAUAUAUUUUUAGUAUUUUAAAAUCAAUUUAAUAUGUUAAUGUUAAAAAUAAUUUUUAAAAAAUUUUUAAAAAAUUAUUUUAAUAUAUUUUUAAAUAAAAAAUAUUUUUAAAAAUAAUUAUAACUACGUAUCUAAACAGGUUAAAAGUGCAAUUCACCUCAUGACAAUCCGUUCUAUCUUCUUCGCCGAUCUCUACCAUGUAGAGUGCAAGCUGCCUACGGCUAUUACUGAUGAACUUGAGAAAAAUUAUCGUGCCUUUAGUUGGGGGAUAGAAGGGUGGUAAUUAAGACGAAAAUGCAUCUUAAUCUUAUUAAUUAGGAGUCUGUCUGUCAACCAAACAGGCGUGAAGGAGCUGGCUGAAAUAUUUAGGCACUAUGAAAGUUGUCAUGUUGAUGAAAUUUGGCUGGGUCUGCUGACUCGAAAAGUAAUUUAUGGGUUGAGGUUUUAAGGAGCAAGUGUAAGGUUUGUGAGGACAUAAUUCCUGCUCUCUAGACUCUUUGCCAGACCGAAUUCGUCUCCUCUAUGGAAAGCUUUGUGCUUCGUUUAGCCUUGUGUUUUGGAAGAUGUUCUCUUGGAUCGGGAUUCGGGUUGAUUCUUGGAUAGAUGCUCUCUUGGAUCGGUUUCGGGUUGAUUCUUGGAUAGAUGGUCUUAUGGACUUUGCUACUGAUCAGGGUAAAUGGAGGCGAAGCUAAUUUGGCAGCUUUCUUCCGUCGUCUAUUCUCAAAUUGAUGAUGAUGAGUUGAUAUGGUAGCCUUCUUCGAAUGGCUGUUUCUCUACUGAAUCUACUUAUGAUAUAGACAAGUAUAGAUGGAAUUAUUCUAAGAAGAUAUGGUCUUUAGUGCGGGGUUGGAAUAGUCCUUUUUAUUUUUUUUAUAUUAAUAUGGUUAUUCGAACAAACUUACGUGUAAAUUUUUUUUAAAUAGACAAAUAUUGCUGCUCUCGUUUUGAUUUCUUUAUGCGAAAUUUAUUUUUUAAAAAUAAUACAUGUUGAUAAAUUUUUUGAAAUAAUGACAUGGAUUGAACAAAUACUUGAGAAACAGUACAAUUUGAACAUAAUUAUAUUUUUGUAUUUGAAUUCUUCAAGUUCCCAUAGACGACAUUAUUUAUAAAGUCUUAAAAAUCUAAGUAGUCUUGAAAUAAUAUUUUCGAGUUAGAUAAUCGAUUAAUUAAUUGAUGUUAAUAAUUUUAUUUAUUUUUAUUGAUCUAGAUAGUUGAUAGCUUAUACUUAGAUUUAUAGCUAGUACUUGUAAGAGAUCUCAUGGGGAUGUAGACUCUUCAAUACUUAAAUAAGCAUUUUUUUAGAGAAAGAAAAAUUAAUAAUAUUAUAGAAAAAAAUACUUUGAAAAUAUAUAUGCAUUAAAAAAUGAAGAUUGUGAAGCUCUUGUUCUGAAGAGUCUUGUGAUAUAUUUAUAGCCCAUGAAUUUUAUUUUUUUUAUAGAGAAAAGAAGCUUGAGUAUAAUUUUAUUUUGUGAUAUUUUAAAUUACAUUAUAAAUUGUAUUUCACUCAUUUUAUCCGGCUAAAAAAGAGAGAAAUGAUGAACCAUGAUUGAUUUAAGCCCACCUAGGGCUAUGUUUGACAUACUACCAAGCCUAAUCGUGAUUAAGUAGUAUUAAAUUUAAAUGUUUUUUUAAUUUUAACCGGUUAAAGAGUCAAUCUUUUUAAUUAUAUAUAAUUAGGUAAAAUUACGAGUUUUUUCCCCAUAAGAAACCGAUUGGAAUGGGAAAGUGUCAAAAAGUUUCAAUCUUCCCACCUUGAGACAGAGCAUGAGAAAUGUUCCAAUGUCCAGGUGGCCUUUACUCCAAUUAAGGACGAAAGUAGUUGAUCAAAGCACAGUAAGGGGCAACUUGGGAUGCCAUCAGCAUUGUUCCUCUCAGUAUCCUAUUGCAAAUUUGACUCUGGCCUCACGAGUAUACACUAUACACACUGCCCAUCGCUAAAUAAUCUGAACUAGCCUUUUCUCUCAGUGGUUGGAAAUUCGGCUUUCAUGUCGGAGGAAGUGCUCAUAUGCAGCAGGAAGGAGCUGUUUAUUUUUACCUUUUAAAAUAUUUUUGAAAAAAAAUAUUUUUUAUUUUAAAUUAAUAUUUUUUUAGUGUUAUUAAAUUAUUUUGAUGUGUUGAUAUUAAAAAUAAUUUUUUAAAAAUAAAUAUAAAAUAAUAUUUUGAUAUAUUUUUUUAAUAAAAUAUACUUAAAAAAAACAACACUUCUAAACAUACUUGAAACCCUUUGUUACGCCACACACAAAAUGUCAAAAUUAGGAGGUUGCUUGCUCUCACUUUUAAGAUAAGUGAUUAGCGUGGGUAAAACAUCGAAUUGAAAUCUCAUAAAGACUACAUUUUCAAUUCGAUAAAAGCAUCUCCUUUGCCCUACAAUUAAUAUUUUACUAAUUUACUCCACCAGUCUAAAUAUAAGCAUAUUUGUGUGUGUUAAUGAUCUCUUGAGUUUCUAUGGCAGCUUACCAAAUCUAACCAUUAAAAUAAAGUUUUUCAUUCAAUCAUGGCCCGUUAAAAUGAAAGAAUUAUCUCGCAUCAAGAGGUUGGUUUCACAGCUCGGCAAUCAUCAAUAAAUUAUGAAAAUAAAUUUCAUCAAUCCCACCUGUGCUUGCAUUGUAAUCUUUGACGUGGUUGGGAAUUAACCACCACGAGCACGUUCGCAUUCAUUUGUUAACCUAAUUUUAUGGCCCUCCAUCAACCAAGUAUGGUUCCAGGACAAAACAGCUUAACAAUAUGUAGUUAGCCCAGUUAAUCAAUCCACUUUAUGUUUUGUUUUUAAGCCACCUGUUGCUUUGUUCUGUACCAGAAGAAAGCAGGUUUUGCCAUGGAAGCGAUCCCAUUUCACCCUCUUUCUCUGUGUCCUGUCACUUACAUUCACAAGCUGCUAAAUUAUUUCCAACAGCUUGAAUAACAAGACAUGGCACCUUAGGCCCAGUUUGGUUGCCAUCAUUUUCUUUUUUUUCAUUAGUUUGUAAACAUUUCUGUUCUGAGAAGACAUUUUGAGACGAAAUGUAAAUAUGAUUGCGAAUCCAAUUCCUCCGUUUCCAUACAAGGGUUAUAUACGGCGACAUCAAAUUUUAGAAAAAAUGUCAAAAGUUGAGAAAGCAUCUCGGUAAUGAUGGGUUGGAUUAGUGAUUAGAAUAAUGGUGCUAAACUAGUAAUGAUGCGCUUAUUAUAGUAGCAACGUGAUAAAGACCUUGAAAGCCGCCUUGUUGCAAUAAUUUUGAUGGGGGCAGUGAGAAUCUUGAGGCGAGUGAGAUGAAGCAUAAAUGAUGAGAAAGGGGAAGUUGAACGAGAGAAGGCUAACUUUGGGGACAAGAAGCCAAAAUUGUAAAGCGAGGGACCGCUCGAUUUCAUACAAUUACACAGCCCCCAUAGCCUGGUCGGCCUCUUGUUUUGCAUAUGGGGCCAUUUGCAUUUUAAGGUACAAUAGAGGGGUUUUAAAAAAAUAUUUAAAAGAGAACAGGAAACACUCGCGAUUUGACUGUUAAUUCUCAUAAUGAAAUGAAUAUUUUGCUCUUCAUAGUAACAACCAUGAAGUGAGAUUUGGAAGGUAAAAUAGUUUUUUUACUGGAUUUAUUUGACACUAUAAAAUUAAUUUGGGGUAAAUCGGUUUAUUUAACUAUCCUUGAAAGCAAGGAACCUAAACUGACGUAUUGAAAAUUUGAAACCUUUUAGUCUUCUCGUUUUUUUCAAAAUACUAAAAUGGGCCUUUUUUUGCAGUGAAAUCCCUCCUCAUCUUGAAGUUAUGAAAUUUAAUAUAAAAAAAUUGUUUGACAUGGCGACCUAAUGUUUCCAAUUAAUCCAAUUCAUACCCCUGCAUUUAUUACGCUCACACACACAGAUAUAAAGUAACGUUUUGUGGAAAAGAAGUCACAGAACGGAUUCCAUUGCCCCCCCCGCUGGAUGGCAAAUGCUGCUAGAGCUUUUUCGACGUGAUUGGAUCUACUUUGCGAUAUCUUUUUCUUCCCCGUGUGAAAGAAGUGCCUGAUUAAUCAACUUUCAUGAAAACAAAUUAUUUUAUUUUAUUUAUCCUUUCUUUUGUUUUUUAUUUAUCCUCCUUCCUUCCUUCCUUCCGGUACUUCCAUUUUAGCCGAUCGAGUUUCCUCCUUCCAUUGUAGCCUGAACCCACACUCGAGUUUCUCUACAGUUGAUUGCUAAUCCUGCAUGGUACUUUAGGAGCACGCAGGCGAGGAGCAUGUUGCAAUCAUAGGCAGAGAAGACAAAAUAUAUUUUCCAGCAGAUUGAACAAAACAAAAUAAAAAAAGGGGGUCGUCAUCCUAUAUGUUAUCAAAGCACUAUCCAGGGCCCGGAAAUUUGUCAUGUCUACAUCAUUCGAAGUAUGAAUACCUUUUCUACUCACUAAUGGAGACCAAAGGGUGUUUUUCUUGCGCUUUUAAGAAGAACAUGGCGCUACCAGUGCCACCCGUCACAGUUAUGGAUAAUGCUUGUAAUCAUUAGUGAUGACAGUGUGACUCGUUAUUCCAUUGUCGAAAAACUUUAACAAUAUCAAGCUAAAACUAACACACUCGCAGUCAUUUUUCCCUUCAUAGGAAAUUAGUGUAAGAGGUAAAUACAAGUUAUCUCACCAACCCAGUUUGUGUAGGAAAUUACUGUUACUUGAAUCAAAUCUAACCGCAAUAACUUACAGCUCUUUUCUCAAAUCACAAGGGAAAUAACGUAGUUUUCAUUUCUCAAGUGCCAUACCUUUUAAAGUACGUAGACAGAUUUAUAUAUAUUAUCUGUGGAGAUAAUUCUCUCUUCCAAUUCUCUCUCAUUUAUUCUAUUAUAAGGUUAAAUAUUUUAUUAACGCAGCCGAACCAUUGCAGAAUUCGGAUUUUGGAGUUGGGUCGUGGUUACAGGCUUGGCGUUUCCCGUGUCCGAUCCUUGCGUUUUUUUCUUCUUUUUUUUUCUAAAUAAAUAAAAAUGCUGGAAAUAUGCAUUCAUGGAAUAUACACUACACAACACAUGCAUAUAGGUGAACUGACCACUCAAACUUGUACGAAUUAUAGGAGCCGAGGUGUUCACGUGGGAAUAGUAAUUAAAUUGUGCACUCACUACUGCAAAGACGAAGGGGAAAAUCUAAUUUCGAAACUACUUGGGAUCCAAUAUAUAUAGAUAGAUAGUCUCCUCUCCUACAUCAAUGGAGAUUCAAGGACCCGUGAAGAAACUACUAGUGAACGGGCCUGGGUAACUUAAAUUCUUGCGUGAGAUGCUGGACAUGCGCAAGUAAACUGGGUAUCGUGAAGGCAUUAAUUUUAAUUUCAUAUUUCUUUCCUUCUUUCUCUUCCUUGUCUUUUUAUUUCUUAAAUGAAUUUGCCAAUUCUCAUACUUCACAAAACAAAUUCACCUGUUUUGUUUUGGAUCUGUUGACUUGGUUUUUUUUUAAUGUUUCCAAAUUAAACGAUUUAAUGAUAUGCCUAAAAUAACAAGGACACCCAACACACUCUUUAAGCUAUCUAUCAAAUUGACAAUGUAUGCUCUUAAAACUUGGGUGGCGCAUAAUAUUGUGUUGAUUUCUGCCUUUUAUAUAGUUUUUUGUCUAAAACAAUAUUAAAUUAAUGAUUUUUAAGUGUGUAUUUUUGAUAAUUUUAAUGUAUUGAUAUAAAAAAUAUUAUUUAAUAUAUUUAAAAUUAAAAUUUAUUUUUAAAAAGCACUCCACGAUAUCAAAUAUUCAUUAAUCAAUCUCCUUUGAUUUUUUUCAAACCAUGGAUUAAAUCUCUUGCCCUUCCACAAAUAACAUCAUCGACGUCCCACUUGAAUUACCUACAUCCAGAUGGCUUCCCACCCUCGUUUUUCAACCGAGAUUGGGAUUUUUAAUAUUAAACUGAGAAUUUCUUAUUAAACAUGUUAAUACCUCUGCUCAUGGGGGACGGAUGACAUGUCAUUUGUUUGCCGAAGUGUCACAUGAUCCUCCUCCACGAUGGACCAGUAAAAUUAUGAGUGUGGCAAGUGAUAUUCUCUUCUAUCCAUGUCAACCUAUUACCUGCUUCAAACACGACACGUGUGAUUCUAAAGUCAAAAUUAACCUUCAUUGUCAUUGACCUCGACCUCUAACCGAAGGAUUUUUAACGUGUAACAGUGCAGAUAAAAAAAAAAAACAAUACUCAAUUGCCGAAAUUGAUAAGUGUUUUCGCCAAAAAUCAUAAAAUACAUAAUAAACAAGUUGUCCUUUAGCGUGAACAAAUGGUUGCAUGUUAAAUUAAAUUAAAUUAAAUCUAUAUAAUUUUGGAAACCACGUGUUAUGUUUCCUGAUGAAAAAAUGCUUUUAAUUUUUUUUUUUUGUUUCAAAUUAAUUAGGGCUAGUGUUUUUAAUUUGUUUUAACAUGCUGAAGUUAAAAAAUAAUUUUAAAAAAUAAAAAAUAUAUUAUUUUAAUGUAUUUCUAAAAAAAACAUUUUAAAAAUCAAUUAUUAUUAUUCUACCAAACACCAUCUCAAAAUGAAUGUGAGAAAGCACACCUUGUAUGCAAUGCCAUUUUCCUGUUAUUUUACCUAUAGCGGAAAACUACAUUUUCCUGGUUAUAUUAACUUUUCUCCAAGUUUCUUUAAUUAGUUAUAGAUCUCAGAUUAUUAUUUCCUUACGUCUUAAGAUUCAAUUUAAUUUUUAAAUAAUUUUAAAAUCAACAUCAAUAAUAAUACAUUACAGUAUAAAAUACUAAAUUGAAGACUUGAAAUCAAUAAAUUAAAGAAGGAAAAACUUUCCCAGAUAUGAAAUAAACUCUGACAUGCAUGCAUGGCAGGAGACACAGAUUCCACAACAUGGAUAAAGUGGAAAAAGAAAUGAAGAAAAGAAAAGGCAAGUUCAGUGUUUGUUUGUGGGAUCGUGUAUGUCGUGUCUACAUCAAAUCCCGACAUGCAGGGGCUAGGUUUCUUGUUCCGACGAGUAAAAUGGUAGCAGAGUAGCAGCGACUCUCUCACACUGUAAAAUACCAAAAGAAACUUGUUAGCUUUGAGUUGGCAACAUCAAUAGGGGGCUUGCAUAUCACUGCUCAUUGCUAGCUUCCAUUUUGUCUCUCAUGGCGAACAAGAUCCAGUGAUGAAAUUAUUAUCAGCGGCAGACCCAUUUUCAGACUUCACUGUAACAUGGAGAUCCUCGUGAUUAACUUAAUAAAAAUAAGGUGUUUAACCGACAUCAAUAUUGUGUGGAUGCUAUUAUAGAUUACCCUUUCUUGACAAAUGAAAGAUUUUUAUCCAUAUCGGUUCUUUUAAUGUAUUUUUUAACAUAAAAAAAUUUAAAAUGUAAAUCGAUCAAAAGUCUAUGAUAACGUCUAGUUAAAUAAACUAAUAAUUAUUUAUGUAAAUAAAUAAAUAAAUAAAUCAUUAACAAUAAACAAAUAAAAAAAUAAAAAAAAUAAAAAAUAAAUACGGAUUAAGAUAUUCAGUCAUACAAAAUGAAACAUUUAUCCAAUUGUGUCUAUUAAAUUUAUUUACUUAAAUUAAUAAAAGAUAAAUCUAUACCCUAAAAAUCUCAUAACAUAAAAGAUAAACAUAAAUAAAAUUGACUAGAUAAACUCGCCCUAAAAACAUUACACAAGGCCGAAUACGUCAUCAAUAUUAUUUACAAACAAAUAUUUUUUAUUUUAAAAAAUAAUUUUUAUUUGUAUAAAACAAAAAAUAUAUAAAUCAAUUAGAAUAAUAUCUUAAAAAAAUCAGCAAACAAACAAACAAACAAUUCUAAAAAUAAUCAUAUUAAAAAAAUGGCAUGCAAAACACGUUACUUGAAUCAUGAGACCGGAACAAAUCCAUAGAAAAAAAUUCAAGAUCAUCACAAAACCAAUAUUUUCUUAAAAAGAAAAAAAAUAUAUAGAAUUAUUAGAUCGUACGAAGCCAAAUAUCCAACAAAUCAAAUGUCAAAAGAUUAAAUUAUAAAAAAUAAAUCCAAUUACAUAAAAGCAUUCAAAAAAAAUUAAAGGUGAAAAAACAAUUCAUUAAAGGGCAAAUAAAGAUUUUAUUUGACCAGUUCUUUGCAGCAGGCCGUAAAUUUAUUUUUAAGAAAUUAAAAUAGAAACCAAAAGGUGUAAAUCAAAUUUAUUUGACGAGUUCUCGAGUAUAUAGAUAUUUUGAUAUGUUUUUUUAGGUAAUAAAAUUUUAAGUGUAAAUAAAAAAGUCUACCCAAAAAUCUAAUAAUUAUAUAUAUAGAUAAAAAAAUCAUGAAUAAUAAUUAAAAUAGAAAGUGAAAAUAAAAUAAAAAAUAGAUGUGGAUUAAGAUAUUUGAUCUCGCAAAUGAAGACAUUUACCCACUUGUAUCAAUUGAACUUGUUUAGUAAAAUCAAUAAAAGAUCAUGAAAAUAAAAACACAUAUGAAAUCAUGUGAAUAAAAUAAAAAAUACAAAACAAAAUAAAUAACAAUUAGAAGAAUUGUAAAUGAAUUCAAUAUAAAAAUUAUCUGAAAUUAAAUGUUUUGUGAAAAAUGAAAUGAAAUUAAAUGUUCUGAGAUAGAAUUGAAAAAAAAUAAUAAUUAAAAAAAUGAAUAACAAAAUAGAAAUUAAAAGAAUUAUUAGGGAUGAGAUGAAAAUAAAUCAAUGUAAUUGAAACAAUUCCACCUAAGAGAAAAUGGAUUGAAUAAAAAGAAAAAGGAAAUUGGAGGCUGGUUUGAUUUUUGCAUGGUCGGCACGCAACCCGAAUAUAAAAAAAAAGGAAAAUAAAGAAAGAAAAAAGAAAAUUAGUGUCAAACCCAACACAACCCAACCGAACCACCAUAUAUGUGCUGCUAAGAGAGGAAAAUGAUGUCGAAACCAAUCAAAUAAUGUGAUGGGAGCACAAUUAAAACCAUUGAAGUCAACCAAAUGCGUUGCCCGAAGGUGAUGGAGCUUCUAAUGCAUCUGGGUACGCAUUAACAACUAUAAUUUUUUUUGUACAAAAUAAAAAAUGCUUUUAUAACUAAAUAAUAAUAAUAAUAAAUAAAUUAUUAUGAAAUUACAACCAAGCCCCUAAAACCAAAGCUGAAAACAUUGGAUGUGAAGGGUAAUGGAAUAGUUAUAUUAUAAAAUAACUAAAGGCCCUUAACCAAAAGUUAUGACUAUUUACUUUUCAAUUUCAAUAUCCUAAUUUUAUUGUUAAGAUCAAUGUAAAAUUCUACAAUGCCUCUUAUUACCUUAUAAAAUAACAAAUAAAUUAAUAGAAAAAAAAAACACCACCCCAUCCUAAACCUUAGAGCUGCAAAAUUCUACCUUUCAAGUCCACGAUAUAAUGAAUUUAUUAUGUCUUGGUUCUGAAUGCAUAUGCAAUAAAAGUAUCACAAAGUUUAGAUCUUGUCUCGAAACACGGUUCAAAUUGUGUUGUAUCAAAUUUUGAGAUUUUGUUUUUACAUAAAAUUAUUAUUUUUUAACUUUUGAGAUAUAAUUUUUAAAAUUUUUUUUAAAAAUAUUUUGAUGCAUUUCUGAAAAAAGAUAAUCCAAAUUUACAAGUAAUACUUAAUAAUAUUUGGUCAAGUAAGGCCCGGCCAUAACACAUGCAGCGGGCUAUUGGGAUAGUCGGCCCGAAUUUACAAUCGUUGGGCCCAUAGGUAAGAUUAAUGAUCCACGUUCCCCCACCAGACAGAGAAACCUAGUGAAUAAUAAAAAACAAAACAAAACAAAAAGAAAGACAGACGAAGUUAAUUCUGUUUCUUUUUUCUCUCCCCCUUGAGACCAAUUGUAGGGUUUUGCCAAAAAUCUCAAAACUCCAAAGAAAUCCAAGCCAAAACCUACCCUGUCUGAUUAAGAAAACCACAAGAAUUCUUCUCUUUCUUACUUUCUGCCCAUUAACAAUGACAGACGGUUACUGGAAUCGGCAACAGCCUUCCAAUGUCCCUUCCAGCGGCAUGCUAAAACGACCUCGUUCCGACUACGGUACGUUCUGCUCUCCCUUCCUUUUGUUAAAUGCAAAAUUUAGAGUGCCAGAUUAGGAUUACUGUAUCUUUUUGUUGGAAUUAGAUCCAUAAAUUACUGUUACAAUGAAGUAUGUUGGAACUAUUGGUCGAUUUAAAAAAAAAAAAUUAAUAGAGGCGGUGCCUGCUGUUGCUACUGCUUGGUUGUCUGGUUCGAUAAUUUGUAUAUUUUUGAGAAGUAAGAUGUGGAUAGAAGUCUCAACGGAUUUGAUUUUGGGGGUCUUGCAGAUAUGCCUUCAAGCUAUGAGAUGCAGAACUACUAUCCGCGAGAUGUUGAUGAUGAUCGCACUAGGUAUGAAACUGUCAAGGACAGUAAGACUAUAGGAUCAGCAUAUGACCGCUACCUUCAGAAUGCGGUAUGGUUCUUUUCAAACCCUAUAUAUUGCUGUUUUGUUACCCCCCUGUGUAUUUGCUGAUCUACUCGUCCUUUUUUGUGAAGCAAGCUCCUACGUUUGCUUCUAGAGAAGCCAGUGCAUUGGGAGGAGCUGGGUUUGGAAGGGGUAUUGGUGGUGGAAUGAGUGGUCUUCCGAUAGCUGAUUCUGCUGUAAUGACUCGCCCUCGGUCUGCUGGUCUAGACCUGGCAUCGAAUGGUAGAGAUGUUGGUUUUGUUCGUCAGCGACCAGAGGAUAGAAUUGCUAGGUCAGAUCGUGAAAUGGCACAUCUACCUCCAGAUGCUUCCAACACUUUAUAUGUUGAAGGAUUUCCUCCUGACUGCUCAAGGAGGGAAGUAGCUCGUAUCCUUUUAAUGUCGUAGUGAUGUUGCACAAUAAUGAUACCCUUUGUCUUGCUCUUUUUAUUAGUUACCAAGGCUUUCUUUCCAACUAUGUUUUAUGUUCCUUUACUGGAUGUGAUAGAUAUAUUUCGACCUUUUGUGGGAUAUAAAGAAGUUAGACUUGUGAGCAAAGAAGCAAGACAAGUAAGUAGAUGAGUUAGAGUACUUUCUCAUACUUGGUUUAGUAAUCUGAUGCUCAAACUGGCUUUUUGGAAAGUGUGACUAGUCUUUCAUUGAAUGCAGCGUGGUGGAGAUCCUAUCAUCCUUUGUUUUGUUGAUUUUGUAAAUCCAGAAUGUGCAGCAACUGCGAUGAGUGCCUUGCAAGGUGAUGAUUUUGCCUUUUUAUCUAUCUAUAGUGAAACCGAUGCUAGGGGUUGGAGGCUUUCUUAAUACAAUGAUGUUUGCUGCUAUUGUACUUUACACUGUUGUAUAUGGGUUUGCGUGUGUAAGACUCACCUUAUUAACAUUUUUUUUCUGCUGUUCACCAAUUUACAUAUUCCUAUUACUAAGUUGGUUCUGAAGAAAUUCUUGCAUGAGAAUGAUAUGUACCAUGGCUUUGCUUUUUUUCUCCUUCCUGUAGAUGGGUUGGGGGGGGGGGCACUUUUCACCAUCCAUCUUGCCACAAUAAGAAUUGGAAUUGCAAAUAAAAGUCAUUCCAUGAUAGUAAUUUACUCAUACUUGUUUGAAAUGUCUGGAGAUGCUAACUACAUGGAUGUAAUCUGCAGGUUAUAAAGUUGAUGAACAUGAUCCUGAUUCUAGGUAUUUGAGGCUGCAGUUUUCUCGACACCCAGGCCCAAGAUCUGGCCCUAUAAGCCGUGGAAGGAGGUGAAAAUACUUGUUGCAGAAACACCUAGCUUUCAAUGCAAAACAGUUUCUUAGUUUGCAUUCAUCCACCUUUUCAGAGUGUUUAUUUAACAAUCUAUAAUCUAGAACUUGCAAGCUAGAUUGCUCAUCCUGGCUGUACUAGUUAUGUAUAAUCUUGAUCUACCAAAAUAAUGAGGGUUCAAUUAAUUGCAGGAAAUGACUUGGUAGUUUACCGAUUUUAUUUAGCAGAAAAUGUUGUGUGAUGAUUGUUGAAUCUCAAGUCAUUUACCUUUGGUGUUGGGAGUUAUUUUCUAGCGAUUUGUUUCUAAUAUUUGGAAUGUUUAAAUUCUUGGCUUUCGCUUUAUGAUUCCAUGUAAUCCUUGUGUGGUGCAAUUGAUUGAAGAUCCUUCUGGGGAUAAUUUAAGCGCGCUACUCGCGUGACAAAAGAUGAAUAGUAUUCAAUUAGGAAAUGCUUUAACUAAAUUUUUUUUUUUUUUUUAAAUAAUUGUUGAACUUUAGAACUUCUAGAGACUUGCAUGAAUGUGGUUUCCGGUUUCAUGGUUGCUAAUUUGCUGUGUUUUUACGAUAAAUGCAUUGUUUGCUGGGAAGUUGCAACCAUUGCAUAGCUACCCUAUAUUGUUGCUGCAGUCGUUUGGGUAAGUUUAAGCAUCUUUUUUUUUUUGGGUAAAGCUAUUUACUGUUUGUACUCUUCUUUUUAUGUUUGUUGAUCUGCCGCCCCUUGCUUUGGAGAAGCUCGUCUAGCAAGUUGUGGAAGAGAGAUCUUUUCUGUUUGUGUUUCAUCUUUCUUUAUGUUUAUCUGCAUGACAGACUGAUGAACUUUGUUGAUCUGUUCGUUUGGAACUGCAUCGAUCGGCAUUGCAUUAUAGGUUCGCUAUCUUUCCUUGGACAGUUAAGCACACGCUUUUUCGCCUUCCUGUCUCCACUGUCACUUCGCUUCAUUGAUUAGCAUUUUGCAUCCGGCACUCAUGGAAUGAUUCAGAACUGAUACCUUGUGAUGCUCGGACUCCUAUGGCUUUCCCCAAGUACCUUUGGUGUCUACAUGGGUACGACUCCUCCAGAACUCUGAACACGGCAGUUUUGGUUUUCAGAUACCAGUGCCGUCGUGGCAUUUUGUGUGUUUUAAUGUCCACGACGUAGAUGAAAAAAGGAGGAACGAGAAGAAGAAACAACUGGCCACAAAAUUUUUAACGCCAUCCAGUUGGAUUAAUACAUCUAAAACCUUAUUGAAAUGAAUAUGGGCUUACUUGUAGAAUUAAUUGGGUCAUGAAUUAAUGAUAUUUGGAGUGGGAAUUGUGGGCUAGCUAAAUAGCUUCAUAUCAAGAAAAAGUACUGGUCUCCAAGAAUUUUCUGUAUAUUUUGUGCGAAGUGAAAUAAUCUCGCUCCCGCAUCCAAAAUUUAAAUAAUUCCAAGCUGUCUCUUGUAAAAUCUUAAAUUUGAGAAGUCCAAAUAUCUGAUAUACGUAUAUGAGUCCGAGCAAUAUAACUUACACAGCCAACGCCUUCAUCAGGAUUAUUGACCACUUGCUCGUUAACAAAAAUUACAAGACAUUUUUUUACAAGUACCAUAGCACUAUGGAUAUGGAUCACAAUGGUGCUAUGUUUAUUUUUCUUCUCCAAAUUUUAUUUUUUAUUUCAUCCUUUCCAGGAUCAAAUUGAUGGCCGAUUUAAUUCAAUUUGUUUAGAGAGGGUAAAAUUCUAAGAUAGAGGAUUAAAAUAGAGGAAAAAACAUAGAAAAUGGGUGGCUGUUUCUAAAUUGCAUGAAAAGUUCACUUUGAUCCUCUUACUUUUCCAAUUAAUUUUUAUUUUGUUCCUUUGGUUUUUUAUUUUUUUUUAAUCAAGAUUUCAUUUUCAUUAUUCUUCAAUCCUCCGUUUGAGAGUGAAGAGAGAGUCGCUAGAUUUCAGUUAAAGAGAAAAUCUUGAUUAACAUUGAUUUUCACAAUGAAAAAACUUUAAUAUUUGUGUUAGCGAAUUUCAUUUGACAAAAAAAGUUUUGGGGUGUUUUUAGAAUUCACAUCGCUUGGAAUGAUAGAUAUGAGUUUGAAAAGAUUUUUAAAUUUUGAUUGAUUUUAAACCAAUUUUAAGGUUAUUCAAGGUCAUAAAUUGAUUUAUCAAUGUCGUAUAGUAUGUUUUUCAGGUGUUUUUGAGUUAAAGUAGAUUGAAAAUCAAAUUUUUAGAUGAAAAAAUAUUCAUGGCCUGACUUUCCAAUGAUCCUCUAGUAGUUGAAACUAGACCUGCAAAUAAUACAUUAUUUACACCAUUUUUUAUAAACAAAUUAAGGGCGCAUGGCGCGCCCUUUGCCCUUUAGUAUAAGAAAAUUAAAAGGACUGGCACACAAGGCAUGUUUUUUUUUUUUUGAUAGGCCAUGCAUGUAUGGCAACGCCCUGCCUGGCCUAUUUCGUUUGUUUUUUUUUCCCCUCUUAUUCUUCCCUCUAAAUUUUACAUUUUAAUCAAUUUAAAUAGAAUGACUAAAAAAUAAUUUAAAAUUUUUUAUUGAAUACCAUUGAAAUUCUAUUUUUUUAUGAAUAACUCUUUUUUUUAUAUUAGCAAACGUUUCUUUUUACAACUCUUCAUGAUUAUUUUAGAUUUUAUUCUAUCACUAUUUUCUUUCUUGUUUGAUUAAAGACUAUUUGACUCAAAUGAAAAAUAUUUCUUUUAUAACAUUUUUUUUAAUAUUAUCCCAUGUUUUUGCAGCCCUUCAUAAUGCUUUUGGCUCCCAAUAAUUUUUUUUACUCAUAAUGAAAAAUUAAAAAUUAUUGCUAACGAAAUACGUUGCUAAUGGUUAUAUUUCUUUUUAGCUAUCCGAUCUACGAACCGAGCCAAUGUACUAGUCCAUCUCUAUUUCAUGUUUGUAAAUUCCAAAAUUUCAACUCAAUUGCAAGUCCCAGUCCCCACUCAGGGCCUGUGUUCAACUAAGCAAUGGAACCCAUUACCCAAAUAUUGCCGAUUAUGCCUCCCAGGCCCAUCCUCGUUUAUCGGGAUCCAAUAAACCGACGUACAAAAUACAGAGGUCUGCAUGCUGGAAGGAGAGGCCAGGAAGGAAAAAAUAAAAUUGGUUUGCGUUUUUUUUUCUGAGCCGACAAUUAAUUAUCACCCUCGGGUUUGUAUUAGUGUAUGCAAGGAGACAUAAUCCACUUUCCAGAUAACGUUAAUGUGGUUUAGGAUUUGGGUAUGUUGGGAAUUUAGUUAAUUAAUCAAAUUAAUCCAUCUAGUGAAGGUGUAUUCCCAGCUAUUUGCCUAGCCAGGCAUUAUCUAAACCUUCCAAUUAAUCCUCGGCCCCCAAAGCAUGUUUGGUAAGAGCUAGUAUUACAAAUACAAUAUGUUAGGAAUUAAGUGUUUUUUUUUUGUCUUUGAAUAAUGAAUAAUGAAUAAUUAUAUUAUCAUGUCAAUAUUUUAUUCUCCAGAUUUAAGGGGGUGGGUGGAUGAUUGGCAGUAGUUUGGUGGGGUUUAGAGAUCUUUAAAUAAUAAAAUCAGUACAAUAAAUAAAAGAAAAAAUCUUAAAAUCCAAAUGGAUAUAGAUACAAUCAAUCCCUUCCCAGUUCCCACCGAUUAAUGAUUUAUCACCCUUGCCUUUACAAUGAAUCAUGCUCAAAAAGCGCCAAAAUACGUAUCCAUCAGUAACAAAACAAAGACACGUUUCCAUGUAUGCAUUGAAUCUUCAUUUUUCAAAAGCAUAUGCCUAACCAGGUGUUAAAUCUGUUGAUUAAUCAAAAAUAUUAUCUUAAAUGUGUUACAUCAAUGGAUAAGUUUUCUUUCCUUGCGAGAGAAAAACGAGAGCGAUUAAAUUGGUUUCAUGUCAUGACAGGACCGUAUCUCUGUUCGAACUCUGGUGGUUAAACCUAAACGGGUGAAUGGAAAUCAGAUAAAGAGAAUCAAUCCAUUAAUUGUUCUUUCGUGAUCACUUUACGUGUCUGCCUACAAGGCGACGUACGUCUCUAUGCGAAGAAGAAAUUACAAAGAAGGAGAAACAGUAUGCUUAAUUAUUUGUUCGUUUCUUAUUCUAUUUUUAGAGGGUACAGUAGCAACCUGGUUCCAUCAUGCAGUCUAUUUUUACAGAAGAAGAAGAGUCUCGUUAUAGAAGAUGAUAGCUCUUUUCAUUGGUAAAAGUUCUUUUAAAAGCUUAUAAAGGAAAAUAAUUUUCUCAAAAACACUAGAUUUUUUUCUCCUUCUGUGGUGCUUAUCUACGCUUGAUUCUAUGCAUGCCCUUUUCUUCUUCUUGUUUUUCUUUUUGGGAGCAAUCUAUGGCAAGUGGUUGUAUUAUUUCACUGGUUUAGAACAAUGCAAUUGAAAUAUAUCAAGUCCUGUAUCGAGAAGUUUGAACUGCUAUGUCUAUCAGCAAUAAAAAGGAGCCUCACUGGCAAAUUAUGGCGAACCAGGCCAGAAACUGAUCCCCAUUAAGUUAAGUUAUGGACUCAAUUGCUCACAAAGUCACAAUCGAUCGCUUUCAUGUUGAACUACAGGGUGAUCGUAAUUAUUACUAUUAUAACUAUAUUAUGACGAUGAACGCAUUAGUUGAAAUAAUUCAAGGUAUUUGAUUAAUUAAUUGGCAAUUAACACUUUCAUAGAGUUUAAUUUCCACGACCCUUUGGUGCGAAUCUGGAAUUUUGGAGUCUGAACAUAAUUAGGUUUCAAGAUAGACUCCAGGCUGUUUUGAUUAGGUUCAGCGAACAAUAGACAAUGAUUAGGUUAAUGAAUUGGUAUAGUUUUUCUUCUUUUUUUCACGGUCAUAAUGGCCUCAAUAACGAGAUAGUCAUGGUUUAGGUAAUGUGCUGUGAAUCAUUAACAAUUUCGAUAUAUUUACAGGCUGCAGGGAUAAGAUCAUCAAAUUGCUUUCUUUGAAAAUGAAACCCGUUAAAGUCUAGACUUUAUCCUCAAGAGAAAGAAAAUAGGAGAAGAAGAAAACUCUUGGCAUAGAAGGCAUUUAUCAUACUAUGAACACAAGAAACGUGCUCUGUUGGUAUUUUAAAAUAAAAAAGACAGGAAGACAUUUAAUUGCAGGGAUAGUAGAGAUAAAAAUAUCAAAAUAAAUAUUUUUUUGAAAUAAUUUUGUAGUAUAUAUCCCUUUCAUCUUAAUUUUCUUUAUCUCUUUUAUAUAAAAAUAAUAAUAACUAAACACAAUUUAAACAUGAUUAUUGUUUUUUUAUAAGCCAAUAAUCAUAUUAUGAUACAGCUGCUGGAAACAAGAGCAUAAAGGCAGAUAAGAAAACCCCUGCGUCCUGUACAAUGAAGAUCCCAGGUUGUGCAGAAAUGGAGAAAUGUACAAUCAUUUUAGCUUCAGGAAAAGUAAAUUGGGUGUUUUAUAAUAUAUAGGUGUAUCGUGAUAUAAUGAAAGUUGUUUUUUGAAAUAUUUUUUUAUUUAAAAAUAUAUUAUAAUAAUAUUUUUUUUAUUUUAAAAAAUUAGUUUUGAUAGUAAUAUAUUAAAAUUUACUUAACUAUUUGAAAACGUAAUACAAAAAAUUAGCUUGUUUAGAAGUAUAAUUAUGGUUUUUUUUUUUCAAAUGUUUUUUAUUUAGAAAUAUAUUAAAAUAAAAUUUUUUAUUUUUUAAAAAUAAUUUUUGACAGUAGGGAUUAAAAUGAUCCAAAACAUUAAAAAUUUAUUAAUUUAAAAUAAAAAAUAAAAAAAAUUAAUUUUUUAAAUAUUUUUAAAAUAAAAAAUAAACAUGGCUUUUCGUCUUCCCAUAACACGAACGUACAUUUCGAACUUUUAUUUAUUUCUUUAUUCACAAAACGUCAUGCGCUCCAUUUCUCCGCCACAGGCGUUAGUUCUGUCUUUCACCAACUCUUCCGUACAGAUCUGUUGUUUACUUGCUCAAAGGCACGUGAGAUGAAGUCGUGGAGAUUGAUAACUUUCUUCGCAAAUAACCAUCACACAUGUAUCCGCCCCCCUCUAAUUCACGCAUCUUUUAAACGUAAACAAAAUAUAUUUUCUGCAUUUAUUCUUUUAAAAUAUUUUAGUCAGUUUAUUUUGCAUAAAAAAAAUUAUAUUUGUUUAUAAAAAGUAUUUUUUUAUAUUGAUUUCUCUUAAAAUAUUUUACAGAAAAAAUAAUCAAUAAAAAAUAUUUUAUAAUCUAUUUUCAAACAUGAUUUAUUUUCGUAAAAAUAAUUUUAGUUUAUAAAAUAUUUUACAAAUAAUAUUUUACUUAUAAUAUCAUUUAAUUAUUCUUAUCAUCGUCAACACCACUAUCUCUUCCUUGUCCACAAGCUUCCCAUUCAUCGUUGUUAUCAUUUUUGUUUUCCACCAUUACUAUUAUUUCAUCACCACAAUCACUAUCUUCUUUUCCUUUACUAUCAUUAAAAAAAAUAUUUUAUAAGAUAUUAUUUUUGAAAAAUAAAUAUUGAAAAAUAUUUUAUGCUGAAGGGUGUUAUGGAUAUAUAGAAGAACAAUAAUAUUGCAUCUUCUUGUUAUAUGAGAGAUAAAAUUAAUUGAAAGGAGUCUUUAUUAUUCAUUUUGGUCUCCAGUUAAAAGUGUUAUAAUUGCGAAUUAAUCUAAUCCGAAGUUAAUAUUUUUUUUCUUCUUGAUUAGCUAGACUUUUAAACGUAAACAAAAUAUAUUUUUCUGCAUUUAUUCUUUUAAAAUAUUUUAGUCAAUUUAUUUUGCAUAAAAAUUUUUAUAUUUGUUUAUAAAAAGUAUUUUUUUAUAUUGAUUUCUCUUAAAAUAUUUUACAGAAAAAAUAAUCAAUAAAAAAUAUUUUAUAAUCUUCUUUCAAACAUGAUUUAUUUUCAUAAAAAUAAUUUUAGUUUAUAAAAUAUUUUACAAAUAAUAUUUUACUUAUAAUAUCAUUUAAUUAUUCUUAUCACCGUCAACACCACUAUCUCUUCCUUCUCCACAACCUUCCCAUUCAUCAUUGUUAUCAUUUUUGUUUUCCACCAUUACUAUUAUUUCAUCACCACAAUCACUAUCUUCUUUUCCUUUACUAUCAUUAAAAAAAAUAUUUUAUAAGAUAUUACUUUUGAAAAAUAAAUAUUGAAAAAUAUUUUAUGCUGAAGGGUGUUAUGGAUAUAUAGAAGAACAAUAAUAUUGCAUCUUCUUGUUAUAUGAGAGAUAAAAUUAAUUGAAAGGAGUCUUUAUUAUUCAUUUUGAUCUCCAGUUAAAAGUGUUAUAAUUGCGAAUUAAUCUAAUCCGAAGUUAAUACUUUUUUUCUUCUUGAUUAGCUAGACUUUUAAACGUAAACAAAAUAUAUUUUCUGCAUUUAUUCUUUUAAAAUAUUUUAGUCAAUUUAUUUUGCAUAAAAAUUUUUAUAUUUGUCUAUAAAAAGUAUUUUUUUUAUAUUGAUUUCUCUUAAAAUAUUUUACAGAAAAAAUAAUCAAUAAAAAUAUUUUAUAAUCUGUUUUCAAACGAUUUAUUUUUUGUAAAAAUAAUUUUAAUUUAUAAAAUAUUUUACAAAUAAUAUUUUACUUAUAAUAUCAUUUAAUUAUUCUUAUCACCAUCAACACCACUAUCUCUUCCUUCUCCACAACCUUCCCAUUCAUCAUUAUUAUCAUUUUUUUUUCCACCAUUACUAUUAUUUCAUCACCACAAUCACUACUUUUCCUUUACUAUCAUUAAAAAAUAUAUUUUAUAAGAUAUUAUUUUUGAAAAAUAAAUAUUGAAAAAUAUUUUAUGCUGAAGGGUGUUAUGGGUAUAUAAAAGAGCAAUAAUAUUGAAUCUUGUUGUUAUCUGAGAGAUCAAAUUAAUUGAAAGAAGUCUUUAUCAUUCACUUUGGUCUCCAGUUAAAAGUAUUAUAAUUGCGAAUUAAUCUAAUCCAAAGUUAAUAAUUUUUUUUUCUUGAUUAAUUAGCAUUGCUUAAGUAUAUAUUUCAAGUGGUAUAUUUAAGAGUCGGUGAUUAAAAUAAUUCAACUAGCUAGGGAACUGAACGUGACUAAUCAAAUCUACAACUGGUCAUAGCAAGAAUUUUAAAUUGGGUUACAGUUUGGUAGCACAUUAAUCCAAAAGGGAUUUUACCUUUGCAUAUAUAUAUAUAUAUAUAUAUAUAUAUAUAUAUAUAUAUAUAUAUAUUGAAAGCAAUGGUAUUAUAAAUGACUUUUAGGUGAAUUGAAAUUAAAAGCGUGUUUGGAAACGUGAUUAUGGUUAUUUUUUAAAGUAUUUUUUAUUUAGAAAUAUAUUAAAAUAAUAUUUUUUUUAAAAAAAAUAUUUUUGAUAUUAGCAUAUUAAAAUAAUCAAAAAAUAUCAAAAAAUAUUAAAUUGAAGUAGAUAAAAAAAUAAUUUUUUUUAAUUUUAAAAAAAAUAAAAAACAAACUUACCUGAUAAAUACCAUACACCAAGACAUGGAUUACAAAAAUAAAAUGAUUAUGUUUUUUUUUUUUUAAAGAAACCAACAACCUUGCUAUAAGAUGCAAUAAGGUAUUUUUUGCUUUUGGCAAGAUUAUACUGGUAUCACAGUCAAAUUGUAUAUUUAAUAUGUUAAUUAAGGUGGAUUUGAGUUGAGUUUUUUUGGUUAUCAUUGUUUUUCACUUUAUUUACCAUAUGUUAUAUUUUUUAUUUAUAUUAUUAAAUUAAUUGAGUAGAUUAAAUACGUUAAUAAUUCAAAUUCAAUUUUUUUUUUUUUGCUUUUUCUAAAACGAUUGCAUCACCUUAAUAUUUUUUUUAGGCUAAAAAAAACUGAGGCGGCAAACGAUACAGCAUGAACUAUCUAGUAAUUUCUAAGCUCAUUAAAGGCAUGCAAAAAUCAAAAUGUGGAGACAGCUUAGACUGGAGAAAGUACUUUUUUUUUUACUUCCAACUAUGAGAGAGAGGGAGGGAGGGAGGGAGAGGGAGGGAGAUAACGUAGCCGCCUGGUCCCUCAGCGAGAAGAAAAAAAAAGUCAGAGAAGUUAGGCCAUUUUUUUUUUCUUUUUUAUAGCUAGCUUCUGGCUGAGAAAUUGAUUUAGAAGUUACAUUGGCUAAAAAACAAAGGACAUAUGGAUAUAGUACAAUUAUAAGACUAUAUUCAAGAUUAGUUUGGUUCUAGAUCUGAGUCACGUAUCAGUGGUUACACUCUGUCUUUUUCUUUUUCUUUUUUAAUAGAAAAACUAAAACUACAUUGUUUUGAUAAAAAAAAACAUGUCUUUCCGUUUACUCAUGAAUUAGGUGAAGUCCCGAGCUAGCUAGUCAUCAUGAAUUAGGUGGUAAAUUAUCUGGUUGGUCCGCAGACCAAGCCAAUGUACGUAGUCUUCACAAUAAUUAAACAAAAUCUAUUCACAGUAACAUUGUUUCAAGUGAACACAUAUAGUACUUGAAUUAGUUAUUCAAUUUCCAUACCUUUCACCAAGGUUAUAAACUUCUCCAAAGUAUAUUUUACCAUGAUUGGUUUGCUGCUACGUGUUCAAGGGCAAAAACCAAAUCUAUAUAAAGAGAAGCGAGGGUUGCCUAAGAAGCAGAACAAGAUCUAUUCUGUAGUGAAGUUUGCAAAAAUGGGGUCUCCAAUGGCCUCUCUCCUUGCCACUCUUUUAGUGGCAACAAUCUCUCUCAGCUUGCCAUCAGAAAGCACAGCAGACUACAAGUACUCCUCUCCUCCACCUCCUAAGAAAUCCCCUCCACCACCACCUCCUCCUUAUCACUACAAAUCCCCACCACCUCCUCCUCCAGUGCAUUCUCCGCCACCACCAGUGCACCCUUACAAGUACAAGUCACCACCACUUCCUCCACCAGUGCACAAGCCUCCACCUACACCACCAACGCACCCUUACAAGUACAAGUCUCCACCGCCUCCUCCAGUGCAUUCUCCACCACCACCAGUGCACCCUUACAAGUACAAGUCACCACCACUUCCUCUACCAGUGCAUAAGCCACCAACGCACCCUUACAAAUACAAGUCCCCACCACCUCCUCCACCUUCACCACCAACGCACCCUUACAAGUAUAAGUCCCCACCACCUCCACCAGUGCACAAGCCUCCACCUUCACCAACGCACCCUUACAAGUACAAGUCUCCCCCACCACCUCCAGUUUACAAGUCCCCUCCACCACCUCCUCCAGUUUACAAGUCGCCACCUCCUCCUCCUCACAAGAAGCCAUACAAAUAUAAAUCUCCACCACCUCCUACUCCAGUUUACAAGUACAAGUCUCCUCCACCACCACCACCAGUACACAAGUCUCCACCACCACCUCAUUACAUUUAUGCAUCACCCCCUCCACCUCACCAUUACUAGAUCAUGGCGCUCAUAGUUUCAAGGUACAUGCACGUACGAUUAUUUUGACAAUGCCAAGUAUAUAUAUCUUAAUUAAUAAGUCUCUGAAAACAUAAUGUCAGGUCAAAAUAUUUCAGUGCAGCAUUGCAUUGAAUUAAUUGAUUACUAAGUUUUUUUUUUUCACACAAAUUAAUAUUUAUCGUUUAAAGAUGCACCGGUACUGACAGAUCCAAUGUAUAUGUUUUUACAGGUAAAUGGAAGAGUAUCAUGCAAUAAGGAAAAGGAUGCGAGCAGGAGCUAGCCUUGCAAGGAAGGAAAGGAUAGCUAAUGCGUAUAACGGAGCAAUCUGUGUUUUAUUUAGAAGAUGAAUAAAAAUACAUGUAGUAGAAUUUCCUCAUUUUCAUGUACUAUUACAGAGGUCUGGUACCGGUGAUCGGUUUGCUUAUUUGGUCUGUCGAAAAGUAGCUUAUAUAUAUGUAUGUAUGUGAUUUGAAACCUUUUGUGUGCUGUUGCGUGCAUGGUUGUUUUCAUAUGAAGUGGUAAGAUUAAUAAAAUAAUCUUUAACCAAAACAGAAGGUUACGCUUCACUUCUUUUUAUUAGCAUAUUUUUAUUUUAGUCACCGCGCGCAGUUUCGUUUAAGUGUAACAAACAUCUACUACUUUGUAAAACCGGCAUGCUUGACUAGCUAGCCAGUACAGAAAGAAGAGCUAGCUAGUAUCCUUGGUAGCUAGCUAGCCAGUACGAAACCGUUAAUUUCCCCAGGACCCUUGGUAGAAUUCUUGAACAGUUAAUGGACUCGCCUAGGCGCCGUUAGGUACGCGGUGGAGUUAUUUUUGGUUCUUUAGCUGGACAUCUGACGAGCAUUUUCUGGAUAUAAAUUAGAUUCAUCCAGCUUGCUAUUAUUCUGAUCACUUGUUUCAGUUACGUAUAUAUAUGUUGCUAAAUAUAUAGUCUUUCUGCAGUAGCUUUUCAUUUUUCAUAACAAGAUCUCUUGCCAGCAAUUCCCCGCUACUAAUUGACAACAAAUUAAUAUUUAUGUUAUCCUAGACUUGCAUUCAGUAAUAAGAAUCUCGGUAUAGUGAUUUUCUUUUCUUUUCUUUUUAUAUGUAGUGUGAACGUUGCCAAAAUAUGAAUGGAAAGAUGUGGAAAAUAUUUAAUAAAUAAAACCAGUGAUUUAGUUCUAGAAAGUCCGCACUGAAGGAAUUAAAAUGUCAAAACUGGGAAGCGCAAAGGACAAAUUUUGCGCACACUCUUCUCUAUAUGCGUUCACAUGCUAUUUGAUAUAUAAUGCAAGAGCAAGCUUUCUAUAGUCAUUAUCUUUUUUGGUAAUCAAGACAAGAUGAAAGGGGGUAAGCUGGAAAGGCAAGUGCUGUCUAGCUAGCUAGUAAAGCAACCAUUAGUAGUCUUCCUUGUUUGCAACUUGCAACUUGCAACAGCCCCAAUCACGGAAAGAUAAAAACGGAUAUUCGUCCACACAGGGAGAAGUUUUGCAAUCUACUGAUUCUUAUCUGAUGCCUACAUCAUGUCUUGCUUCUAGUUAAUUAAUGGCAUAUAUCACCCUGAAUUUUAAUUUUGUCUUCUAAUUAAUGCUCUUCAUCGCAAAUACUCUGUUUAGUAAUGCUAUCAAGUGCUAACAUGUUGCUUUUACAUUAAUAUAGAUGUGUACAUAUCUUUCUUUUCUAUGAGCUAUGAGCCUUUCUUCGAUUUCUGAAAUGCAGUACUAAGUAACCUAAUGCCCUAUGGUCUUAUUUCGUAUCACUAAAAUCGGCUAAAACUGCAGGUUAAUUUCUAAAGAGGCAUGCAUGCCAUAAUUUCAAGAGCAAUAAAAAUCGACCCCUUAAUUACACCAGUAAAACACUACAUGCAUGUCACUGAAGUUGAAGAUCAUGACAGAUCAUUGAUGGUAUCAGCCAUUAUCAUUCAGCUAGAUAUAUAGUACAGUGAGAUUUCCUUUUAUUUCUGCUCUCUCGCACAGCUAUGCAUAUAAUAUUGACAUCUUUAUUUUAGGUUUAGUUUCUUGGCAUUGAUCUGCAGCGUAGAUUCAGCUAUCUCUGUUCUGUAUACAUUAUGCUUUGCAACAACGUAAUUAUUCAUAAGCGAUACAUAUUGAAAGAACUAUGGAUUGCACGAUAACCAUAAGCUAAACUGAAAGGGAGAGUGAAUCAUGCCAUGAAUCAAACUGUCUAUUUUAAAAUUUUACUUAAUUGUUUGAAAAUGCAAUACCAAAAACUAUUAUGUUUGAAAGUGUGGUUAUAUUGUUUUUCCAAGUGUUUUCUUAAAAAUAUAUUAAAAUAAUAUUUUUAAUUUUAAAAAAUAAUUUUUGAUAUUAGCGAAUUAAAAUAAUUUAAAAAUAUAAAAAAUAUAUAAAUUUAAAAUAAAAAAAUAUAUUUAUUUAUUUUUCAAAUAUUUUUAAAAUACAAAAAUUAACAUGGUUUCGUCUUCCCAUAACACGAACGUACAUUUCGAACUUUUAUUUAUUUUUGUAUUCACAAAACGUCAUGCGCUCCAUUUCUCCUCCACAGGCGUUAGUUCUGUCUUUCACCAGCUCUGCCGUACAGAUCUAGUGUUUACUUGCUCAAAGGCACGUGAGAUGAAGUCGUGGAGAUUAAUAACUUUCCUCGCAAAGAACCAUCACACUUGUAUCCGGCCCGGUCUAAUUCACGCAUCUUUGAAACGUAAACAAACAAUAUUUUCUGCAUUUAUUCUUUUAAAAUAUUUUAGUCAAUCUAUUUUGCAUAAAAAAAUAUUUUUUUAUAUUUUUUUAUCUUCAAAUAUUUUACAGAAAAAAUAAUUUAUAAAAAAUAAUUUAUAAUCAGUUUUCAAACAUGAUUUGUUUUCUAAAUAAUAAUUAUAGUUUAUAAAAUUCUAUAAAAUAUUUUACAAGUAAUAAUUUACUUAUUAUAUCAUUUAAUUAUUUUUACCACCACUUCUUCCUUCUCCACAACCUUCCCAUUCAUUAUUAUUAUAACUUUUUUUUUCCACCAUUAUUAUUAUUUCAUCACUACAAUCACUAUCUUCUUUUCCUUUAUUAUCAUUAAAAAAAUAUUUUAUAAGAAAUUAUUUUUUAAAAAUAAAUAUUGAAAAAUAUUUUAUGCUGAAGGGUGUUAUUGGUACAUAGAAGAAGAAUAAUAAUAUUGCAUCUUGUUGUUAUCUGAAAGAUAAAAUUAAUUGAAAGGUAUCUUUAUCAUUCAUUUUGAUCUCUAGUUAAAAGUAUUAUAAUUGCGAGUUAAUCUAAUCCGAAGUUAAUGCUUUUUUUCUUGAUUAGCUAGCAUUGCUUACGUAUUUGGAGUCGUAUAUUUAAGAGUCGGUGAUUAAAAUAAUUCAACUAGCUAGAGAACUGAACGUGACUAAUCAAAUCUUGAACAUGGUCAUAGCAAGAAUUUUAAAUUGGGUUACAGUUUGGUAACACGUUAAUCCAGAAGGGAUUUUACCUUUGCAUAUAUAUAUAUAUAUAUAUAUAGAAAGCAAUGAUAUUAGAAAUGACUUUUAGGUGAAUUGAAAGUAAAAAUAUGUUUGGAAAUGUAAUUGUGAUUGUUUUUUAAAGUAUUUUUUUAUUUAAAAAUAUAUUAAAAUAAUUUUUUUAUAAUUAUUUUUUAUAUCAACGUACUAAAAUGAUUUUAAAAUAUUAAAAAAUAUAUUAAAUUGAAGUAAAUAAAAUAAAAUUUUAAUUAUUUUUAAAAUACAAAUACAAACAAGAUUUGAGUACAAAUAUAAACUGAUAGAAAAAAAACACUGUAUGUUUAUUCUAUGGGUAGCUAUUGUCAUGUGAAAUUUUUGUUUUAAAAAAAUCUUCUACUAUACACCAAUACAUGGAUUACAAAAAUAAAAUGAUAAUGUUUUUUUUUUUUUUUUUAAGAAACCAACAACCUGGUAUAAGAUGUAAUAAGGUAUUUUUUUGCUUUUGGCAAGAUUAUAGUGGUAUCACAGUCAAAUUGUUUAUUUAAUAUGUUAAUUAGGGUGGAUUUGAGUUGAGUUUUUUUGUUAUCAUUGUUUUUCAUUUUUUUACCAUUGUUAUAUUUUUUAUUUAUAUUAUUAAAUUAAUUGAAUUUAUUAAAUACGUUAAUAAUUCAAAUUCAUUUUUUUUUUGCUUUUUCUAAAAUGACUGCAUCACCUUAAUAUUUUUUUUAGGCUAAAAGAAACUGAGGCGGCAAACGAUACAGCGUGAAGUACCUAUCUAGUAAUUUCCAAGCUCAUUAAAGGCAUGCAAAAAUCAAAAUAUGGAGACAGAUUAGACUGGAGAAAGUACUUUUUUUUUUUUACUAGAGAGAGUAGCCGCCUGGUCCCUCAGUGAGAAGAAAAAAAAAGUCAGAGAAGUUAGGCCAUUUUUUUUUUCCUUUUUUAUAGCUAGCUUCUGGUUGAGAAAUUGAUUUAGAAGUUACAAUGGCUAAAAAACAAAGGACAUAUGGAUAUAGUACAACUAUAAGACUAUAUUCAAGAUUAAUUUGGUUCUAGAUAGUCAUGUAUCAGUGGUUACACUCUGUCUUUUUCUAAAAUAAUAAAAAAAACUAAAACUACAUUGUUUUUACAAAAAAAACAUGUCUUUCCGUUUACUUGUGAAUUAGGUGAAGUCCCGAGCUAGCUAGUCAUCAAGAGUUAACCUUUUUUUCUGAGGCGGUAAAUUAUCUGGUUGGUCCGCAGACCAAGCCAAUGUACGUAGUCUUCACAAUAAUUAAACAAAAUCUAUUCACAGUAACAUUGUUUCAAGUGAACACAUAUAGUACAUGAAUUACUUAUUCUAUUUCCACACCUUUCACUAAGGUUAUAAACUUCUCCAAAGUAUAUUUUACCAUGAUUGGUUUGCUACGUGUUCAAGGGUAAAAACCAAAUCUAUAUAAAGAGAAGCGAGGGUUGCCUAAUAGAAGCAGAACAAGAUCUCUUUUGUAGUGAAGUCGGCAAAAAUGGGGUCUCCAAUGGCCUUUCUCCUUGCCACUCUCUUAGUGGCAACAAUCUCUCUCAGCUUGCCAUCAGAAAGCACAGCAGACUACAAGUACUCCUCUCCUCCACCUCCUAAGAAAUCCCCUCCACCACCACUUCCUCCUUAUCACUACAAAUCCCCACCACCUCCUCCUCCAGUGCAUUCCCCACCACCACCAGUGCACCCUUACAAGUACAAGUCACCACCACCUCCUCCACCAGUGCACAAGCCUCCACCUUCACCACCAACGCAUCCUUACAAGUACAAGUCCCCACCACCUCCUCCACCAGUGCACAAGCCUCCACCUUCACCACCAACGCACCCUUACAAGUACAACCACCUCCUCCAGUGCAUUCUCCACCACCACCACACGCACCUUACAAGUACAAGUCUCCACCGCCUCCUCCAGUGCAUUCUCCACCCCCUCCUCCAUCGCCAGUUUACAAGUACAAGUCUCCCCCACCACCUCCGCCAGUUCACAAAUCACCACCCCUACCACCCAAGAAGCCCUACAAGUAUAAGUCUCCCCCACCACCUCCACCAGUUCACAAGUCACCACCCUACCACCCAAGAAACCCUACAAGUAUAAGUCUCCACCGCCUCCUCCAGUGCAUUCUCCACCCCCUCCUCCAUCGCCAGUUUACAAGUACAAGUCUCCCCCCACCUCCGCCAGUUCACAAGUCACCACCCUAUCACCCAAGAAGCCUACAAGUAUAGUCUCCCCCCACCUCCCAGUUCACAAGUCACCACCCCUACCACCCAAGAAACCCUACAAGUAUAAGUCUCCCCCACCACCUCCAGUUUACAAGUCCCCUCCACCACCUCCUCCAGUUUACAAGUCGCCACCUCCUCCUCCUCACAAGAAGCCAUACAAAUAUAAAUCUCCUCCUCCAGUUUACAGUCGCCACCUCUCUCCUCACAAGAAGCCAUACAAAUAUAAUCUCCACCGCCUCCUACUCCAGUUUACAAGUACAAGUUCCUCACCACCACCAGUACAAGUCUCCCACCACUCAUUACAUUUACGCAUCACCCCCUCCACCUCACCAUUACUAGAUCAUGGCGCUCAUAGUUUCAAGGUACAUGCACGUACGAUUAUUUUGACAAUGCCAAGUAUAUAUAUCUUAAUUAAUAAGUCUCUGAAAACAUAAUGUCAGGUCAAAAUAUUUCAGUGCAGCAUUGCAUUGAAUUAAUUGAUUACUAUGUUUUUUUUUCCACACAAAUUAAUAUUUAUCGUUUAAAGAUGCACCAGUACUGACAGAGAUCCAAUGUAUAUGUUUUUACAGGUAAAUGGAAGAGUAUCAUGCAAUAAGGAAAAGGAUGCGAGCAGGAGCUAGCCUUACAAAGAAGGAAAGGAUAGCUAAUGCGUAUAACGGAGCAAUCUGUGUUUUAUUUAGAAGAUGAAUAAAAAUACAUGUAGUAGAAUUUCCUCAUUUUCAUGUACUAUUACAGAGGUCUGGUGAUCGGUUUGCUUAUUUGGUCUGUCGAAAAGUAGCUUAUAUAUAUGUAUGUAUGUGAUUUGAGACCUUUUGUGUGCUGUUGCAUGCAUAUGGUUGUUUUCAUAUGAAGUGGUAAGAUUAAUAAAAUAAUCUUUAACCAAAACAGAAGGUUACGCUUCACUUCUUUUUAUUAGCAUAUUUUUAUUUUAGCCACCGCGCGCAGUUUCGUUCAAGUGUAACAAACAUCUACUACUUUGUAACAUCGGCAUGUUUGACUAGCUAGC